rnacentral:lncRNA from 1 species
GCGUCGCCCUGGUAGGUUAGGUCGGUGGAGUUGGCGACGAAGGAGGUGAAGGUGAAGGAGGUCUUUUGUGAGGUCGCCUUGUUUGCUAGCAUUAGGAAAAAUGCUAUGCAAAAGAGGAGAAGAAUUAGGGUUUGUAGAAGCUUGGCCAUGGCUUGAUUUGAUGGGUGGAGUAUUAUUUGGAUGUAGUGAAUAGUGGUUGGCUCUCUAGCCCUAUUUAUAUUGGUUUAAUGCCACAUUCCAUUAUUAGUUUAAUAUAUUGUAGCUCACUAUUUUUUUUGAACUUUAUGGAGAAGGCAUGAGUUUUUUAAAAAAAUUGAGAAAUGUGUAUAAAAUGAAUAAAGAGGCUCACUAAAGUUGAUUUGGCAGGUAUUAAUAAAUUAUUUGUGUGAUGAGUUUUUUGUAAAUAUUGUGUGUGAAUGAGGGUAAAAUAUAAAGGUACAUAUGUCUUAAAAGGGACGGAAAUGACAAAUACUUAUUGUGGAUAAAGGUAGUAUAAUAUACGGAGUGUAUACUUAAGUUUAUCAAUUUUAUUACUAAAUUAAAUAUGGUUAAUUUAAUAUCAAUAUGCUUAUUAGUAAUUAGUAUUACUCCAUUCAUCCCAAAAACAUCAAUCUUUACUUAUUUUUUCGUUCGUCUCCAAAACAUCUUCCUAAUCUAUUUUUAUGUCCUGUAUUAAAUUUUCAAGCUAGUUUCACUCCCCAACUAUCGUUUAAAUUAUACAUACAUAUAUGGACGACUUGAAAAUUUGUUAAGGCAAUUGAUUAUGCCCAUGCCGUAUAGAAUCAAAAACCAUUCCUAAACAAAAAAUAGAAUAAUUAAGAAAAUAAUCUAGAAUAUAAAUAUAGAACUUAAAUUCUUUGCCACAAAUUUAAGUCAAUCAGCCGACAUAGUAAAUGUAUGUGUUUACAAGUAAUCAUGCCUUGUCUUGAGAUUCAAGUUGGCAAUUGAAGCAAAAUUUCUCACACAUAGCUAUCUACUCUAGCUAUGAAAUCAUGCAUUGUCUUGAGAUUUAAUUUGGCCCAUGAAUCCAAAUUUUGCAAUCAUGCCAUGUCUUAAGAUUCAAUUUGGCCCAUGAAACUAAAUUUCUUGAGCCUAUCUCUAACCUCUUUGAUAUUCAUAUAUAAUAACACCUUUAAAACACACACAACCCACUUCUAAAGUUCUACAUGUAUACACACGAACUCAUGCUUAUGUCACAAAUUAAGUUUUUCAAAAAUAAACUUUUCCCUAUUUGAAUUCCUUAUGUAUUCAGUUUGUUUUUAAUAUUUAAACUAUGUUAUUACAACAAAAUUAUCUAGCAGGGACAUGAUUUUAGCAACAUAAAAAAAGAUGUCAUAAAUUUCUUACUCCCUCCGUCCUCCGAAGCUUGAUCAACAAUUUCUUUUCGGCACGGAGUUUAAGGAGUUAAUAUUUUGUAUGUUAAUUAGUGUGGUAGGUGAAAAAAUGAAAAGAUGAAUAACGGGAAAAGUUGUUGCCAUAUAAGGAAAGUGAUCAAGCUUCGCGGAUAACCCAAAAAUGAAUACUGCUCAAGAUUCGCUGGAAGAAUGAAGUACAAUUUUAGGCAUAACAAAAAUUUAUUUACAUCCACACAUGCAUGCACCGAUACUUUAUCACAUGCAAAAUUACAAGUAACUUUGCUAAUUACAAAAAUUAAUACAUGAACCCUCAAAUGUCACUAGAUGUAAUGAUAUUUUUAUAUUUUUUCGACACACAUAAUAGUUACUCAUCACAAAAUAUCAAUAUUUUUAUCAUAUAGUGAUAUUUAUAAGUUUCACAAUUUUUCAAAUAUUAUGUCAAUGCUAGCUUAGACAUUUUGUUUUGACACUUUGUAUUGAAACAUGUUUUUUACAAAAAUAAAAUAAUUGAAUUUAUUAACGAAUAUUUAAACAAUCAAUCAAUAAUAACUACAAAGUGAAGCAAUUCAAGUUAAAAGGUAAAUUCUAAAUUUAAAUUUGAAAAACAAGAAAAUUCGAGCCUUAAUUUUUUUUAUUUUUUUAUAUACGCACUACAAAUCUCCCAUAAAUCUUAAAUCAAAAUUUAACCUUACAACAAAAAAUAAAUAUAUAAACUAAAAUGGAGUAUGAUAAUAUAGUUUUAUCAAAUUAUUUGAUAAUUCUAUUAAUAAAAGAUAAAAAAAAAAAUAAGGGGGGCCCACGGGCAUGCUGCCCCCAUAUGCUAUGGACCAUGGUGGCUAGGUCACUGCGCUCUCGAGAUCUACACUAUUUAUACGUGGUAUUCAUUGCGAAUUAUUUUGCAUUAUCUUUGUUUAUUUUUCUUAUAUUGGGAAAGAAAACAUGAGUAAUAUAUAGUAAUCUUUUAGAAGUCCAGUUACCAAUGUCGUCAAAAUUAUCUUGUCUAUUUUUAGAAGUUCAGAUAAACAUGCAACACAUUUUCAGAAGAAAUUUAAUAAUCUCUUACGAUUUACAUUUAUUUUUUAAAUAAUUAUCUCAGUGGUGAUAAAAUAAAAAAAUCGACUACAUUUUUCUAAGUAAUUUAUUAGAUACAAAAUAUUAUGAUUUAUGUUUGUAUAUUUUUUGUUUCCCAUUAGUGCAUUAUCAUUUCUAAGUAUCUUCUCACUUGUUCACUGAUUCACUAUUGGAUUAACAUGAAUAUACGAAUUUCAUAGUAUACCAACUGUUCGAUAAAAGUCCUAAAAGAAAUCUUCCAUAGAUAACCUUGCAAAUAACAGGAAACUAAAAUUACUCCCAAAGCAUUCCAUACAUAGAGAUGCGGAUUACCUUAUUCGUAGACUUAACGAGAGUACACUCGAUCGCUAGUCCUUAUUUACGACCCAAACUACACAUACAUUACAAAAUCACACAACUUGACGAAUGUUUCCACCGAGCUCCUUCCUGCUCUUGGCAGCGACGCCGACGUUUUGCACCAUGGUGGCCGUGAAAUACCACGCCACGAUGUCGUGUCUGGCGACGACUUGCCCCGUGGAGGCGGAGAGCCCGACUUGGACCUGCUCAGGAAGGAAGCCGCUCAAAUCGUACACAUAGCUGACCUCGAACGCUUUCGAGCCGGCGGUGACGUGGACGUCGAUCAUCUUCGUGGCGGCGGCGUAGUUGAUCCUUGCCGUCACCUGCUGCCCGAUUAUGGAGCCGUCGACCUCCGUCGUGUUGCCGGAUGACCUAGAGCCGAUGUCGAUGCCGAUGUGGGGAUAGUUCGGAUCCCACGCGCCGUUGACGUAGGUGUCGAACUCGACGGCGAAGACCGAGGGGCUGCUGCCGGAGGAGCCGAAGAUUCCGAGGUUGGAUCCGCUAGAGGAGGAAGGGAUGGUGGACCCGACGGGGGCGAUGAAGAAGGCGAGGCCGUCGGCGGCAGAGUUGCCGGGGCCAGGUGUGAUGAUGAAGUUUACGGUGGUUUCAAAGUCGACUUGGCCGCCGGUUUGUGAGAACUGGACCGGGUUCGAGUACAAUACCCGGCCAACUUUGGCGGUCUGUGCGUCGGUGAGGCGGAGGAAGGUGGAGUCCGACGGGAAAUGGGCGUCGCCUUGGUAGGUGAGGUCGGUCGGCUGGUCGCCCCAGAAGUCGUAGGUGAAGGACGUCGAUUGGGACUGCGCCACGUUGGCGGCGGCGAGGAGUAGGGCGACGGAGGAGAGGAGAGGAAUUAGGGUUUGGAGAAGCUUGGCCAUUGCUUAAUUGAUUUGGAUGUGGUGGAUGAUGGUGAUAUGUCUUAAGCUUGCACUCCUAUAUAUACUAGUGUAGUUCAUGCAUGAUAAUGUUGUUUAAUCAUCAUAUAUUUUAUUUCAUUAAAAUGAAUCACCUCGUCCAUUCGAGGUAAAUGAACCAUGUGAUCUUAUGUACUACCAGCCACAUUUUAAUUUGCUCGUUGGAAUAUUAUCUAUAGUUGUAUCUAUUGUAUUUGUAUAAAUGAUUUUUGGAAGGGAACUUAGAAAAAGUUCUUGAUAGGGGCUGUAUUUUUUAAUUUCAAGUGCAAAAUUAAGUUUUGAUAGACAAUUUACUUAUGAUUCAAUUUAACGAUCGGGUUUUCUGAAAAAAAAAAAUUCACACAAAAAAUCGAUUAUUUAAUAAUUUUAUAAGAAAAAAGAAGAAGAAGAAAUUUUCUAUUUAGGAUAUACACGAGCAGAUGAGAUCCUCUGUCCCACUAUUUUGUGUGUACCACCAUGUACCAUUCUUAAUUUAUUUAUUUUAGUAAUUAUUUUUUAUAAAAAUAAAAAUUAUUAUUAUAUUUUUUAUUUUCAUUUAAGUGAGUUACUAGAUUUAUUUGGGGUGAGCACAGGUUAUUUUGGAAAAGGAGAAUAUCUGUAAGAUGAUGUGAAAAUUAUUCAAUAUAAGCACAUAUAGGGGUUGAGUUCUCAAAGGAACUUAAUUAAUAUCCAAUGUGAUUGAUACAUUUCGACUAAAUGGAUGGACUGUGACGCCCCGACCAAAAGUAAAGAGUGAUUGUGAUCGGUGCACAAGGCAUGGAUGAAAAGCGGUUCCUAGUAAUGCUUCGAUACGGAGGAUACAUGAAUGAAUCGAAACACACCAGAAAGAGAGGGAUUCCAUGAGUACGUACGCAGGUAUAUGACUGCAUAUUCGAGGAGCUUAAAUAAUUUUAUUGGUGUUACUCAUAUCAACAAGAUGCAUCUUCUUUUUUGGUGACCAUAUGAAAUAAACUCCAAGGUUAAGCGUGCUUGGCGUAGAGCAACUUGAUGAUUGGUGACCUCCCUAAGAAGUUUAUCAGAAAGCGUGCUAGUAAGAACAAAACAUGCUAGAAAAGACUCAUAUUAGUCUGUGGGGACAGCCGUUAAAUUUGGAUUCGGGUCUUUACAAGUGGCAUUAGAGAUUAACCUCUCACAGUAUGGUGCGGUUCGGGAACGAACCAAGCGGAAGUUGGUACUCAAUAUUCCAUCUAUUGUGAGUUUCUUUGUCUUCUUCAUCUUUCUUUUACUCUGCUGUCGAGUUUCAGAGAGUAAUCAGAUAGGUUUUCAUUCGAGUUGAGUUUCUUGAGUGAUAAACUGUUAAUUGUGAGUUUCAUUCGAUCAUUUGUUGAUUAUAAAUAUCUGCACAUGGAUAUUGGUCAAUUUAGAUACACUGAUCUUCAAAUUGAUUGACGAAUCUUUAGAAUUCAAAAUUUAAAUCAAAUACGCGUGUUCAUAGUUAAUUGGUAAGUACACUUUUUUUUNAUAUAAAUAUAAUUGACUCGAGAUCUCUGCUACUUACGCAUACUUCGCUCGAGACAAAAAUAAAUAAUUGAUCAUUGAGAACUCCGCUACCACACCAUACUCGUGUACUAUUUAUCAUUGUUUAUGAUUAUUAAUAAAGACGUGUCUUUGCCUGAUAAAUUUAAUUUUCAUACUCUUGAUUCUUUUUUGGCCAUAUCAUUUUUUAAAAAAUUGGGAGGGGAAUGGUGGAAAUUGAAUAUGAAAAAUACCAGUCAAAUGAUACAUGUGCACUUUCAAAGACAAAACAUAAAUGUAACCUUCGUUUGUAAAACAUAGAAAUUCUACCAUAUAUUUGUGAUUAUUUUACCUUUAUACGAUCUAUUUAUAUAUAUUUAUUAGAAUUAAUAAAAAUAUACUACAUUCGUCCACGAAAAAGAAUCUCAUUGUGUGCUGGAUGUGAGUCGUAUCGAGAGUGAGAGGGAACACAUUGUCUCCGGUCUCUGCCGUCUUGGCGAGAUCUUCGGCAUUGGCCUGAUCCGGCCGCUGAGGUGGCCGGUAGGUCAUCCAUGGAGUAUGGCUAUAUUCAUACUCGUAUCCCAUUUUGGUUGUAGAACAAGAAGGCGGUGUUGUUGAAAUCGUCGUCGUUGAUAUCCUUUGGAAAACCGGCUGGGAUAGUUUUCGCCAUUAGAGUGAUGUGCGUAGAAGAGAGGAUCUUCCGGCGGUCUUCGCGGAAACCGUUGUCGCGUGUCCAUAGUUCAUGGAUUGAAAAUAUGCAGGUAAAGCACCCGGCGUACUCGGCCAUACAAUUAACUCGCCAUCAUGAGCUAUAAUUCUAUUCGAGUAAGUUCAAUCUCUAAUGAAUUAAUAUAUUUUUAUAAAUAUAUAAUUUGCAAAAUAACCUUAAAAUAAAAUAUGUAAUAAGGGUAAAAUAGGCAAUCCACAUGUUGUGCUCAAUGCUCUUUUUAUAUUACUAGGAGAAAGAUAAUUAAUGUUAUUUUAUCUAAUAAAAUAAAAAAUAUAAAUAUAAUAUUUAUUAUAUUUAAAUUUUUAAUUAACAAUUUUGUUUAUUUAAUUCUCUUAUCUCUUACAAUAUUUUUUUUUAGAAAAUCUAUUAGUUCAUUACUUCGACUAAAUAUAAUUUAUUGGAUAGAUAUAUUUAUUUAUAAGCCUUAUCAAUAGCUAUAGAUAUAUAUUACAUAGAUUUAAUGUAAUAUUUAAUGAAUCAAUAGCUCUUUUCUUUUAUAUUAGUAUAGAUUAUAUAGAUAGAUAUAUAUAGUGCAUGCAUGAUAAUGUUGAUUGAUCAUCGUAACUAUAUAAUUUAUUGCACUAAUAAUGAAUCACGUUCCCACUCGAGGUAUAUAAAAUGAAUCAUGUGACCUUUUCUACUACCCGACACAUUUUGCUCCUUGGAAUAUUAUUUAUAAUUGUGUCUAUUGUAUAGUGCAUGCAUGAUAAUGUUGUUUAAUCAUCAUAAAUCUUCAUGGCUCAUCCACCUCAUCCAAUCGAAGCAUAUAAUGAACCAUGUGAUCAUAUCUACUACCUGACACAUUUUGCUUCUUGGAAUGCUAGCUAUAAUUGUAUCUAUUGUGUGAAUGUAAGCAAAAGGGCGCGCACAAUUUUUUAUUUUUUUUUGGAUAGGUGACUCGCUCAAAAUACCUAUUGAAUUGACUCGUAAUCGCACGAGGUCAUUCUAGCGUAGUAAGCUAACCCAUGUCGUAUCUCACAAGGAAGAUUAAGCAGGACGACUAAUUUUGGAUUAUUUUUAAUCAAAUGUUGGAUAUUUUUUAAUUAGAGUAAAAUUAAAAUAAGUAAAUUAUUGUAUAUUUUCAGAUUCGGAAACUAAUGGCUUUAUUUUAAUUUAAUCAUUUUCAUAUGUCAGUUAUAUUAUGUAAAUGACGUUUUUAGUAACAAACAAAUGACAUUUUAAUCAAUAAAUGAUACUUUUAUCAAUAAUAAAUGAAACCAUAUUAAGGUAAAUAGGGUAAAGGUUAGACUUAACUGUGAAAGCAUCAUGAGUUUUAUGUGUAACAUUUUCGGUGUGAAAAUUGAUGAGUUAAAAAAAAUGCUCCAUAUUGAAUUCGACAUUAGAUGAAUCUACAGUAGAUUUUCAUGCAUGAUCUAAGAGCUGAAAAUGAUUCACGGUCUAUAUUUAUUCUAUCAAAUUCCAUAUCACUUUAAAUCUCAAAUUACAUUUGCACUAUAUAUGAUUAUAUCCUAAAUUAUCAUAAAUAUGAACCGCUUAAAUCUGGCGUCGUUGCACCGCGGACAUCUUGCCGCUGCUUUCUCCCACCAUUGCCCUUGCUGCCCUCAUCUUAGGUGCCAAUUUUUUGCUCGUCGUGCAGAAUUUGAAAGGGGUAAAUUAUUUUUUCAAUUUUUUAUUGCAUUUUGCUGUCUAAGUUGAUUUCUCAAGUAAAGUGGACUUGGGUUUUGUUUCGAUUAUAGCUGAAUUCGAUGGCGCUGUGUGGUUAGAUCUGUAAUUUUGACGUGUUGUUGAAGUGUGCGGGAUUGAAUGUGAUCUGGGAGAAUUUAAGGGUUUUGGGACGUUAGUAUGAUGAUGGUGGGAUUUGAAUGAAUUUGAAUACCAGAUUAUGGUUGAUGUUUAAUUAUGUGAAUCUUGCGAUCUGUGUUGAAAUUAAUGUACAGUAUCUUCGCCUAGCCGGGGGUUCACCAUUUGGUUCCCGACCGUCCUGCUGCCUUCACUCCACACUCAAGUGCCAAUAUCUUCUUCUCGUUUCUCUUCCUUCUUCUUCUCCUCUUAGUACCUGCAAGACAGAAGGAAAAACCAGCAAGUAUAAAGAAAAAUCAGAAAACUUAAAGAAGUAAAGAAAGAAAGAAAACAAAGGAAACUCGAGGUGGGAAAAAGGUGUCCUCGGGACACAGGUGGCUCAGAUUUUUCCCACAGUGGCAACACACUCCGGCAGCUCAAAGACCACGGCACAAAGGGGAAGGGAAGUCAGAUCGGAGCUCAAAUCUGACGAGCACAGCCACCAAUAAUCAGGAAUCCGGUGGACAGGAUUCCGGCGGCUCAGAAAUCCUUCGCUUUAUCACCAAACAGGAAAUCUAAGGUCAGCAAUCCGACAAUAAUGCUAUCAACAGGAGGAAGCUCUCACUUUACGGCCACAACACCGGAAACCAGAACGGAAACCAGAGAACAGAAGGAAUAGCAGAGCCUUCAAGGUUGUGAACAUACUACAGAACUUCCCCCAAUCGAUUGCUUUAUAACCGAGACAGAGAAGGGUCGGGAAGAUGUAGUGGGCUUUGGGAAGGAGGAGGAAGCCAUUAAUGGUGGUGGAGCUCGAGGGAAAGCGAGAUCAGCAGUCGUGAAGACUUAGGGUUUGGGAGGGGAUUUGAGGUGGAGCGGCGGAGGUUGAAAUGAGGGAAAGGCCGAGUGAGAGAGGGAGUAUUUCAGUGGAUAAUGGGCUAGGGUAUUUUUGAGUUAACGGGCUAUAGGUGUCUGGGCCCAAAAGUUGGGCCAGAGAAGGGAUAAAGAGCAUUGGGCCAACAUUCCACAAUUAAGACAAUUAAGAGUAGAAAUUCUUCUUGAUUUGCUAAUUUAUUUAGGAUUAGCGAUAUUAGUUUGGAGUUUUAGAUGUCGAUUGAUUUCGUGAUCUUGAUUUAUGUGAUAAAUGCCUCUCAUCACUAAGAUUUGGAAUAUAUUGGAUAUCUAGGAUAGUGAUAUUAGUUUGGAGUUUUAGAUGUUGAUGUGUCUUUUUAGGCUGCGUUUACUUUGAUGGAUAAAUUUAUAUAUGGAAAAGGAUGGAUAACACAAAUUUAUGCUUUUAAAUGUCUCCUUCCUCUUCCAACAUUUGACACAAAAAGAGAUGCUCGCUAUUUUUUCUUCCUUAUCUUCACUUCAAGGAUGGAUAAUAUUAUCCCUCCAUUUUGGUGUGAUAAUAUUAUCCAUCAUUGAAGUGAAGAUAAGGAAGGAAAAAUAGUAGAGCAUCUCUUUUUGUGUCAAAUGUUGGAAAAGGAAAGAGACAUUUAAAGGCAUGAAUUUGUGUUAUUCAUCAUUUUCCAUAGAUAAAUUUAUCCAUCAAAGUAUACGAAGCCUUAUGUGAUAAAUGCUUUUUUAGGGGGGCCCACGGGCAUGCUGCCCCAUAUGCUAUGGAGUAUGGACCAUGGUGGCUCGGUCACUGCGCUCUCGAUUGCGAAUUAUUUUGCAUUAUCUUUGUUUGUUUUUCUUAUAUUGGGAAAGAAAACAUAGAGUAAUAUAUAUUUUAGAAGUCCAGUUACCAAUGUCGUCAAUCUCGAGUGAAAAUAAAUAUUACCAUAACACAAAAAUGACAAAGCUAUUGAUUAGUGACGAUAUGUUAGAAGUUCAGAUAAACAACACAUUUAUUCUUGUGUAUAUUAUAUUAACGUUUAUUAUAUAUUAUAAAAAGAACAUAUUCUUUCAAAAUUAUCUUGUCUAUUUUUAGAAGUUCAGAUAAACAACACAUUUUCAGAAGAAAUUUAAUAAUCUCUUACGAUUUACAUAUAAUUUUUAAAUAAUUAAUUAUCUCAGUGGUGAUAAAAUAAAAAAACGAAGUAAUUUAUUAUAUACAAAAUAUUAUGAUUUAUGUUUGUAUAUUAUUUGUUUCCAUUAGUGCAUUAUCAUUUCUAAGUAUCUUCUCACUUGUUCACUGAUUCACUAUUGGAUUAACAUGAAUAUACGAAUUUCAUAGUAUACCAACCGUUCGAUAAAAGUCCUCAAAGAAAUCUUCCAUAGAUAACCUUGCAAAAGUACGUGUAUCUAUAUUAAUAGAAUAAGAGCCUAAGGAAUCUUAAAACACAAUUUUUGGAUUGCCUAUUUUACCACUAUUAUAUAUUAUUUUAAAAUUAUUUUACAUAUUAUAUAUUAAUAGGAAUAUAUUAAUUCAUUAGAUAUUACACUAAAUCUAUGUGAUAUAUUUCUAUAGCUAUUGAUAAGGCUUAUAAAUAAAUAUAUAUCCAUCUAAUAAAUUAUCUAAUAAAAGUAAUGAAUUAAUAGAUUUUUUAAAAUAAUAAAUUAUCAAAUAAAAUAACAUUAAUUACACACGUACGUUCUUUCUGCUAGCUAGUUAAAUAAAAAGAAGAAGAAACUGAGACUGAAAAAGGGAGAAUUAAGAUAGUCCAUUAUUAUCGUCUUAUUUUUAGAACUUAAACGAGAGAAAAGUCCAUCGCUAGUCCUAAUUUACAACACAACACAACACAUGAUAAUAAAUUUAAAUCACACAUAUUGCCGGAUGUACCCUUCCUCCUCUUUGCCGGCGGCGGCAUGCACGAGGGUGGACGUGAAAUACCACGAGACGAUGUCGUGCACGGCGUCUUGGCCUCCGGUGGCCGCGGAGAUCCCGACCUGAACCUGCUGAGGAAGAAUGGCGCUCAGGUCGUACACAUAGCUCACCUCGUAUGUUUGCGAGCCGGCGGCGAGGCUCACGCUGAUCAGCUUAGUGGCUUCCAGGUAGUUGAUGCGCGCAGUCACCUGCUGCCCGAGCAACGCGUUGCCGACGUUGGUCACGUUUUUGGAAACAUUAGAUUCGAUGUCGAUCCCGAUAUGGCGAUAGCUAGGAUCCACUCCGGGGUUGGAGAAGACGUCGAAUUCCACGGCGAAGACGGCGGGGCCGACGCCGGAGGAGUUGAAGAUUCCGAAGCAGCCGCCGGUGAAGCCGAGGGGUAAGCCGACGGGGGCGAUGAAGAAGGUCACGCCGUCGGCGGGGUUCGUGUCGCCUGCGUUGGGGGUUACGGCGAACGUCAGGGUGGUCUCGAAGUCGACCUGCGCGCCGGCCUCCCAGAACGUGAUCGGGGCUGAGUACACGGCCCGGCCGACGCUGUACUGGACCGCGCUGCCGGAGCUGGUGGUGUUGGUCAUGCGGAGGAAGGUGGAGUCCGACGGGAAGUGGGCGUCGCCUUGGUAGAGGAGAUCGGUCGGCUGGUCGCCCCAGAAGUCGUACGUGAAGGCUGUCGAUUGGGACUGCAUGCGCCGUGUUGGCGGCGGUGGCGAGGAGGAGGGCGAUGGAGAUUAGGGUUUGGAGAAGCUUGGCCAUGGCUUAAUUGAGUUAGUAGUAUUUGCUUUGGAUGUGGUGUGAUGAUGGUGUAUUGGUGUUAACUCUUGCUCCUAUUUAUGCUAGUAUAGUGCUUGAAUGAAAAUGUUAUUUAAAUUAACAUCAUAUUUUUUAUUACACAAAAAUGACUCACCCCAUCUUCUCGAGAUUAACUGAACUUGUGAUCUCUAAUAAUUUAUAACCUACCACAUUGUAGUUGUUGGAGUAUACUCCCUCUGUCCCGGUUUUAGCACGAGUUUUAAUAAAUUGGUUGAUUGUAUUAUGAGUAGAAUAAGGAUAAUAUUUUUUAUGGAAGUGUUAAAAUAAUUAAAAUUGAGAAAAUGUUUCACCUAUUUUUAUUAAAAAUAGAAAUGAAUUUUAAAAUAUGGGACGACGGCCAGAAAAAGAAAAUAUAUAUGGAUACUAAAAGUUGGGACGGAGUGAGUAUUAUCUAUAGUGGUAUCUAUUGUAUGAGUACAAGAGAUUUACUUGACUUGUUGAGGUAUGGAGAGAUUAUUACAAACCACGUGAAAUUGAGUUCUUGCUCCCACUGUAAAAGCAAUAAAUAUAGGGAAAAGAAAAUUAAUACUUCCUUCGUCCAAGAAAUGAGUACACAUAUUUCUUUUUUAGUCCGUUCAUGAAAUGAGUACUCAUUAAUUUUUCUUUUUAUCAAGUGUACCUCACACAACCCUUUAAUUAAUUAAUACCUUUAAAAAGUGGGUCCCUUAUUCCACUAACACCACACUCAAUCAUUUCUUAAAACCUGUAACGUCCCCAAAUGAGAUUCAUUUCGUGGAUUGAGUAAAUUCUAUACUACAAAUUAAUGGUUCGAAUUCACUUUAAAAAAUAAACUACAAUUAAGAGUCCCUCUCUUAAUUGGAAUUCAUAGACCAUCUGCUUCAGUCGUGCCCGAAGACAGAAAAGGUUUGGAUUGGAAUUCAUAGGUGGCUAGGGAAUAAAAGCAGUGUGGCCUCAAUCAUUGAAGCACACUUCGAUUUGUUCACAAAUCUUGACAAAGGAAAGGAAGGUCGAUUUUUCUAGCGACAGUAUGGGUCUAUACCAUUUGGUUGCUGUGGAAAUGACGUAACGAGAGCAGAUUUGAGGGCAAGACUUGGGAGAUCAAUGACGUGAUCGAAGAAGUGAAAGUGAGGAUGUGGAGUUGGAACAAGAUUUUUGGACUACAUGUUAAAGAGAUUAGCUCUCAAUCUUGGUUUUCUUGUGAAACUCCUCUUGUUUUGUGUAAUUUGGUCGUAUCUCUGGUACCAAACUCUCUCCUAAUAAAAUUUCUUUUCUGAUUAAAAAAAAAAAAAAGAGUCCCUCUCUUAAUCAAGUAGACUGGAUGCGGUAAGAGAGAAAUCACUUCCAACUUAUCGAUUUUACUAGCAACAACUAGAUUUAUACUGAAGCUAAAUUGGAUCAGACUCUAGGAUUCACUAGUCUUUUACUCAAGGUGAGUCGGUUUACGAGUCUCAAACUCAAGGUGAACUAGAAUGUCUGUCAAUACGAACGUUGGGAGUUCGAGGGUUUUUUAGGACAGUAACUUAGAUUGAUUUGGAAAUUAGGACAAUAACUUUCGGACUUGUAAAAAUAGGACUCUAAUUCUUUUUAAGAGUAAAAUAGGACACUAAUUAAUAAGUGUUACAUCCGCAGGACAUUUUUCGGCCAAUUAUCGGCCGAGAAAUGUCCUACUUUUACGACGCUUAUUAAUUAGUGUCCUAUUUUUACAAAUUCGAAAGUUUUGUCUUAAUUUUCAAAUCAACAUAAGUUAUUGUCCUAAAAAAUCCCCUGACUCCGAACGUUGGAACAAGCUCGGCAAUAUACUGCUAUUCAACAUUAAUGGCACUUUGCACUAAAUGAAUUGGUGUCGAAUUAAUACAUCGUCUUGCUGCUCAUAUCUAUAUAAUAAAUGCAUACCUGCACCUCGAUAUUAAUCAAUUUAGAUACACUAAAUCUCGGAUAUACUUAACAAAUGGAUUAAUAAAUGUAUAAAUUUUAGAUUUCAGAAAAUCAAAUACAGGUGUUCAUAAGGAAAUGAUUAAAAACCCGUGUGUCAUUUAGAUAAGAUUAUUAUAGUACAGUUAACGAUGGUGAAAUAUUCUUUUACAUUAGAUAUAAUAGCAUUCCAGAUCUCAAUGGCAUUUUUUGUUAUAACAAAAAAAAAUUGUAUAUGUUCCAUACUAUCCUCAAACUUCAAAUUAUUAUUUUUCUUUAUUUUAAAAUUUGUAUUGGCACAUAUCUGUCAAUUAAUCAAAUUCAUAUCAAAACAAUAAUUCGAAUGAUAUAUUAGUUGGCUAGCUAUAAAUUACAAAUUAUUAGUGAUUAGGCAUGUUUUACACAAAUUAUUAGCCCAAACAACAUUUGAUUGUGUGCAAUGCACACACUUACUAAAAGCAGAUGUGAUCAUCUGUCCCACAAUUUAGUGUGUAUCACCGUGUACCAUUCUUAAUUUGUCUAUUUUAUAAUUAUUUGUUGUAAAAAUAAAAAAAAUAUUGUUAUAUUAUGAACUCUAAUUAAAAUUUAUAACUAAAAAUAAAAAUUAAAAAAAAUUAUAUACCCUAACUUUGAAUUAAUUAACCCAAAUAAUCAAUUAUUAAUUCAAAUAAAUAUAAAAAAUAAUUAUAAACUCUAAUUGAAUGAGUGAACCCUUAUUAAUUAGUUUCUUAUUAUAUUAUAAUAAAUUAAAAUUGAAGAAAAUAUAAUUAUAUAUUAUAAUAAAUUAAGAGUGGUACACGGUGGUACACACUAAAUUGUGGGACAGAUCCAUGUGCACUAAAUUAUAGGUACGGAGGUGCGGAUGCGGGGGCGAUACGAUACGAGUACGGGGAUACGGGUUCUAAAAAAUUAUAGGGUGCGAUUCGGCAAGGAUACAUCUAAUUAUUAAAAUUUUAUGAUAUACUAAUUGUUAGAAAUGGAUAUUGGGCCAAUUCCUCCCUUAAAAGGCCUUAUAAGGGAGAGGGUUACCUCACCAUAUAAAGUGGCUCAUGCCACUAUCUCCAAUCCAAUGUGGGACACUUCAAUACUAAUGCUUAUAAAAUAUAUACAAUUUAAAUUUUCUUAAAUUAAUUAUAUGUAAUUUACAUUUUAUUUUACCCAAAAGUUAAGCAUUUUCAAUUAUAUAAGUUAAUUGAGCAACAAUAUAACGAUUCAAAUAUUAUUAGUCCAAUAUAUAAGUCAUAACUGAAAAUAAAAUUAUCAAAAUAACCUUGUGUAGGCCUUUCGUGCACGAGAUACGUGAAUUUCGCCUAUGGAAUUUGCAAAUCCGGUUUAUUUUUAUAAAUUGUUUUAAAAGAUACGCACUGGUGAAUCGGUGCGAAUCCGACAAGAAUUCGAGAAAUCACACCCUAAAAGAAUCCGAUUCGCCGUACAUCUAAUUUUUGAAGAAUCCGUGCAUCAUAGGUGAGAAGAAACACAAGAGAGUAAAAUGGUACAUAAUGUAGAAAGACUUUUCUCCAAAAUAAAUGUUACAGUCUUCUAAUAGUCGAAAGGCGCAUGAAAAUGCGCAGUUAUUCGAAAGAAAGGAAAGGCUUAUUCAGCCACACAAUGACAUGGAAUUCGAAUUGAAAUUGAAAUUCAGACAAAUCCCAAACACGGUGAUGCAGAGAUCAAGCGGUAACACGAGGAAUGAUCUUAAUACCACCGAUGGUAACUUCGUCGCCGUUAAUGUGGGGAACGAUGGUGACGACAAUGAAAUCAUCAUCAGCAAUAUUGAUGUUCUCAUAGAGCUCCCUCAAGUUCAAGCGAAGGUCGUUGGCGCUUUCCGCAGCCCUAACCCUAUGCGGAAUCUGCGUGAAACUGCCGGCGAACUCGGCCCUGGCGAGGUCCUCUGGCUUGUCGUCUUCGUCAUUCACGAACACAUCGAACCUCACGAGCUUCGAACUAUCGGUGAUUAUGUUCUCCAGCACGAGCACUUCGUCGGCUUUGCCUUUGGUUGGUUUGGGCACCAAAACCCUGUGAGUCUUGUUGAGAGUGAGAGGGAACAGAUUGUCUCCACUCUCUGCCCUCUUGGAGAGAUCUUCGAUAUUCACCGGCACCUCCCUCCGCGGUGGCCGGUAGGCUGUCCACGGAGUUUCGCUGUGUUCAUACACGUAUCCCAUUUUGGUGUGGUCCAAGCAGUCGGCCACCUUGACGCGCACGAGGUUCUUCUUCUCGUCGUAGAACAUGAACGCCGCGUUGUUGAAAUCGUCGGGGUUGGGGACGACGAGGUCGUUGAUAUCCUUGGGGAAAACGGAUGGGAUAGUUUUCCAUAUGGUCCACAUUCUGUCGACGUUAGCGUGAUGUGCGUAGAAGAGAGGGUCUCUUCCGGCGGAGUAGAAGUUCCCCAUGUCUUCGCGGAAAUCGUUGGCGGGGUUUCCGGUCCAGACGUGGACGCCGCCGUGUGAGCCGCCCUCCGACAAUCCUCCCUUGGCGCGUGGCGGGGGCAAGUCCCCGGAAACGUAAGGAUCGCCCAUGAAGUCGAUGGCGGAUUCGACAUCACCAAUCAUUUCCUUGUACAUCUGAGUGAGAUUGUUUUCGAUGAUCGUUACAGGAUCGGUGAUCGGGGGGGUGGUUAUGGCAAGAGCAACGAGGGCCGGGGGGCGAUGCGUUGGGUCGCGGUUGACGUCGUAGAGCGGGGAUUCUUCCCUGUCGAACGGCCUGGGCAUCUGCAUACCCCUAGGGUUGUCCCAGUUCCAGUAGGGCAGGGCGAAAUCGGGAUCUCCGAUGAGUUCGCCCAUGAUCCUCUCGAAGAAAUAGAGGUACCACCUGUGGAAGGGGUGGAUCCAGAAUUUGUCAUUAGGAGGGACUAAAUUUGUUGAAGCAUGACGUCUCAAAUUAUUAGCCAAUUUUUUUUAGCAUUCCAUACAGUUCAUUUUUUUGUCGAACUACAUUCGAUUAAUUCAACAACAAGAACAUUGAAAGCAUAUAAAUACUUACCUCUCAAAAAUUGUUUCAUCUUCUAAGAAGAUAAGCUAAUUUUCAUCAUGGCAGUUCAUAAUUUUAAUUUAACUUGAGGAUUGACUCAAAUUCAACACUGAGAAUCAACUAAGAAAGGAAAGUAGACAAAAAUAACAUAAAUUUAACAAACUAACAUAUCAAAUUUAAAUCACUAUAAAAUAUUAAACAGUUAAAACGUGGAUACUAUAAUUAAUAAAACAAUGUAUUUUAUUAUCUCUUGUAUUUCUUAUCUAUACUAAUAGAAAAAGAGUCUAAGACAGUCUAAGGCACAACUUGUGGAUUGCCUAUUUUACCCUUAUUAUAUAUUUAUUAUUAUAUUUACAAAAUAUAAAUCUAUUUUGAUAAAUAUUUAUUUGUCACUCAAAUCUAUAAAGAAUACUUUAUAUCUAUAGCUAUUGAUAAGGCUUAUAAAUAAAUAUAUUCAUCCACAACGUACGUUCUUUCUGCUAGUAUAUAAUAAAAACAAAAACAAAAAACUCAAAAUUUGGGAGGCGGUCGAUCCGCUGCUAACCUGUGGAAAGGGAAGAAGAUCCAUGAGUUGUGAACCUGGAUAUCGAUGCCGGGGUGGUCCACCUGGUCGUAGGGGCCGUUGCAGUAAGCGCAGUGGAUGUUGGCCUGCUGAGUGAAGCCACGGGGAUCGUCGGGGUCCGUCACGUCCAGUUCCUUCAUCUUCUGGAUGGCCAACUCAUACUUGCGUACGUAUUCCGGUGUCAGCCUGUGCGCCGCCGGCCUAACGCGAGGUUUAGUGAACCUCGGAAGCUUGUAGUCGCUCUGAACGUCGGUGUAGGGCGGGCAGCAGUUGACGUCUAGAGAUAUUACCUCUUGGUUUCGAGUGGUGUAGGCACCUUCGGGGUCGCAGGUGCUCAGGUCAGGAGGCAAAAUCGGAAGCGCCUCAGCUUUGCGGAUGGCGCUGCCUGCGCCGUAUAGACCGCCCAGCCCAAGCAGCAUGUUUCUGCGGUCUAUACGGCCGCUGCCACCGCCACCGCUGCUGCAUGACACCUGAAAGCGGCCGUGGCUCCGCCGGCUGCUGAGCUGGGAGGGCUUGCGAAAUGGGGAGUUGGUGGCGGCGGCGAUCGCCGUGAAUGAAGAUUGAAGGGAAGCCAUGUUUGAGUGAUUGAUUGAUGGUCGUUGUGAUUACCUGGGGAGGCAUGUCUUUAUAUAGCAGAUGUGACACGAGUUUUAAGAAAAAUAAAUUAUCCGUUGAAUAAUUAAAUCGCCAUGUUUCUAUAAUUUAUUCCUAAUGGAUCUAGUCAAACUAAUCGUGCAAUAUUUAAUAAACCACGCAGCAUCAUUUCCGAGACUAAUAAAUGACAUUUUGAACCAGCUAAUCAAUUCCAUAUAAUUAACCAUUUGCGAGGCUGGCUGCCCUUCACUAAAUGGUUGUAUGCACUUGUCUUUGGAAAAGCUGUUUGGCCAUAUUAUGGCCAGUCAUAAUAUGGGAAAAUAUUAUAAAAGUCAUGUAUUUAAUUUUUUAUAUUUAAAAUAAAAAUAGGAUUUUAUUAGUUUUAUUUUUUAUUACAUAUUUUAGCUAUUUUUUUUUAUAAUUUUUCUGAAUUUUUUAGAAAAAUAAAAAAUAAAAUUACAAUGUGAACAAAAUUAUAAAACUAAUAAUGGUAGAGCAGCGGAGGGCACAGGUGAAGGGCAUGGCGGCGGUGUACUUAUUUUAGUCAAGUAAUUAUUAUUGCACGAAAAAAUAAUUAUUAAUAUAAAGAAAGAUAAUGUUUCAAAGACAUUAUCUUUCUUCAUGUCUAUUAAUUUUUCAUCACAAUAAUAAUUACUUCGAAUUAUCCGUGUUUUCAAUCGUGCGACCUGCACCCAGCCCGACCCGACCCGUUUCACCCAUAUAGUCAGUCUCACCCAAGUUUUUGCCUAAAGAUAAGUAUUAAUUAGUUGUGUAUGGUGAUAUGAGUCUUGUUUGUAUAAAUUAGUAGGCCUUUAAUAAUGAAUUGGCCCAUCUCAGGUGGUUUAUAUAAUUUACUCGUAUGGAUCUAAAUACAACUAAUCAUGAAAUAUUUAAUAUACCACGGAGCAUCUUUCUGAUAUACUAUUUAUAUAGUAAUUUAUUCCUAAUGGAUCUAAUCUCUGACUAUUUAAUAAUUAACUCGCCAUCGUUUAAAUAAUUUACUCCUUAUGGAUACACUCAAAGUAAUCGUGCAAUAUUUAAUAUACCACGCAGCAUCAUUUCUCAUACAAUAUUUUGGACCAUCUAACCAAUUACAUAUAAUUAAACCUUUUGCCAGGGUGGCUGUCCCUUCCACUAUAUGGUUGCAUGUAUUGAAUUGAAAUUUUAUUGAGGAAAAAAUGAAAAGAAAAACUAGGAAUUCAUUGAUAGCACGAAGACGCUAAUUAAGGGCUGAGCCUCAUCAAAACCUUUCCGAUAAAAAUCCAGUGAAAAAAACCACCAGCAAAGGAAAAAGAGUACCAGUCUAUUACAAUAAAAAAAUGAAGAACAAACUCAAGACAGGAACAACGAGAAGCACGAGAGGAUGAUAAAACAUCUAACCCGAAAAAAAAGACCCAAACCAAAGGAGCCUGACAAAUCCGGAGCCAGUACCAGCGCACCAGGAAACUGAAAAAGUUCUGGAGAAGCCACUUCGACCCAAGCACGCCAACCAUCCAAAAGAAACGACUACCACACCCACACCUAGGCCAAGAAAUAUAUAAUAUUGUGAAUAGUUCCCAUGGGAUCGAAACAGACCACCAAAACAAGAAAAAACCUCUAAGAGCAGACUACUCAUUGCCUGCCUGCCUAGUAUUCGAUGAAAUACCCAAACCAGAAAUCAUAGCAUAAAGCAAAAACCGCCACAGCUGGGGAGCGAAGAGCAGAAGGCCACCAAUAAGAUACAUUAGGAUUGCGCAAAGUCUGACAAAGAAAUCAGAAAACUUACCAGACCACUCUAGUUAAUGUAAUCUAUACAUGUCCGCACAUGAAAUUUGGUCAAGUUAGAUACACUAAUCUCAAAUCUAUUUAAUUAACAAAUUGAUUGAUUGAUAUUUUUUUCUGAGAGAAAUUGAUUGAAUAAUUUUUAGACUUCAAAAACUAAUAGUUAAUUGAUUGUUUAGAUAAGAUUAUUAUUACACUUUUAUAUAGAGAUAAUUAGUACUUGAGAUAUGUGCAAUUUACGCAUUCUUCUCUCGAGACAAAAUAAAUAUUAUUGACCAUUGAGAACUCUGCUACCACUACUCCAGUUCUAUUUAUUAUCAGUGUGCCCUCUCGCGCGCUGCACGGGUCACAACAUAUUUGAUUAUUUAAUUUUAGCUGUUUACGCAUACUUCGCUCGAGACAAAAAUAAAAUAAGAUUUAUUGAUCAUUGAGAACUCAGUACCACACCAUACUCGUGUAUACUAUAAUAUUUAUCAUUGUUUAUGAUUAUUACGUGUCUUCGCCGAUAAAUUUAAUAUUCAUUCCUUUAAUUUUUUUCUAUUGACAUUGGAAACUGUCUUGAUUCUUUUUUGGCCAUAUCAUAUAUUUAAAAAAUUGGGAGGGGAACGUGGAAGUUGAAUCUGAAAUAAGAAUCAAAUGAUACAUGUGUACUUUCAAAGAUAAAACGCAAAAUAUAUCAUUUUUUUGUAAAACAUAUAAAUUCUACUAUUUAUGAUUAUUUUAAAUUUAUAUAAUCUAUAUUUGUAUGUAUAUAUAUUCUCCAUUUGUUCAUGAAAAAGAGUCUCAUUGUAUGCUGAAUACGAGUUUUAAUAAAAUGGUUGUAAGUGUGAAAUAAAUGUAUAAUUUGUAAGAGUCUUUACAUUAGAUUAUAUUUUACUCUCUUCGUCCUAUUGAUAAUGACUCACUUUUCUUUUUCGUCUGUCUCAUUGAUAAUUGCAUGUUCCAAAAAAACUGAAACCAUUUGACCUCACAAAAUGUUGUGGGCUCCACUACUUUUUAUCACUUUUAUCCUUUAAUUACUAUUCUUAUUAAUAACCGUGUCGAACAGUAAUGAACUAUUAUCAAUGGGAGGGAGGGAGUAAUAUUUUAAUUUUGUUUGCUGCCACCACCACCACCACCACCACAAUUUAAAAAAAAAAAUCUACGUGAAUAUAGUAAUUAUUAGAACAAAAAAAUAACUAUAAUAAUAAUAUAUUAAUCCGUUAAUUAUCUAUACUAAUAUAAAAAGUGCAUUUGGCACAAAAUAUAUAUUGCCUGUUAUAUCCCUAUUAUAGUAUUUUAUUUGAAGGACAACUUUGUAAAUUAUAUAUUAUAUAUUUAUAAGAAUAUAUUAUUUCAUUAGAUAUUACACUAAAUAUAUUUGAUAUAUAUCUAGAUCUUAUGCUAUAAUUUUUUUUAUAUUAAUUAAUUAUUAUAUAUUGUGAUUUAAUAGAAUUAUACAACUCUAAUAAUUUAUAAAUGUAAAGUUCAGGGAUUGCAUGCAAUGCACACAUUCUAUGCUAGAAAAAAAAUAGAAUUCACUAAGCCGAUGAUAAAUAACACAUACAACGUACUAUUUCUGCUAGUAAAUUAAAAAUCUAUAUGAUUUUAUCUUCUAUCACUACAUUAAUUAAAAUCUAUCUUCCGUUUCAUAUUAACGGUGGUUUUUCAAUAUUUUUUAUAUUAAUUACUACAUAUUGUGAAUUUAUUACAAUUGUUAACCUCUAACAAUUCAUUAAUAUAAAGUUGAUGGAUUGUGUGUCAUGCACAAACUCUCCUGUACUCAUCUAAAAGACUCUAUAUGUGAGAAGAAACCGCAGGAGAGUAAAAUGGUACAUAACAUAGAAUAGAAAGACUUUCACAAAAUAAAUGUUACAUUCUUCCCGUAGUCGGAAGGAGCAUGAAAAUGCGCGGUUAUUCGCAAGAAAGAAAGGCUCACUCAGCCACACAAAACAUGGAAAUCCUAAACACGGUGAUGCAGAGAUCAAGCGGUAACACGCGGGAUGAUCUUAAUACCACCGAUGGUAACAUCGUCGCCAUUAAUGUGGGGAACGAUAGUGACGACAAUGAAAUCAUCAUCAGCAAUAUUAAUGUUCUCAUAGAGUUCCUUCAGGUUCAAGUGAAGGUCGUUGGAGCUUUCCGUGGCCCUAACCCUGUGCGGAAUCUGCGUGAAGCACCCGGCGUACUCGGCCCUAUCGAGCUUCUGUGGCGUGUCGUCUGCAUCAUUCACGAACACAUCGAACCUCACGAGCUUCAAGCUAUCGCAGAUUAUGUCCUCCAGCACCAGCACUUCGUCGGCUUUGCCUUUGGUUGGUUUGGGCACCACAACCCUAUGAGGCUUAUUGAGAGUGAGAGGGAACACAUUGUCUCCGGUCUCCGCCGUCUUGGCGAGAUCUUCGGUAUUGACCGGUUCCGGCCGCUGAGGUGGCCGGCAGGUCAUCCAUGGUGUAUGGCUAUAUUCAUACUCGUAUCCCAUUUUUGUGUGGUCCAAGCAGUCGGCGACCUUAACGCGCACCAGCUUCCUCUUCUCGUUGUAGAACAUGAAGGAGGCGUUGUUGAAGUCGUCGGGGUUGGGGACGACGAGCUCGUUGAUAUCCUUCGGGAAAACGGAUGGGAUCGUUUUCCAUAUAGUCCACAUUCUGUCGACGUUAGCGUGAUGUGCGUAGAAGAGAGGGUCUCUUCCGGCGGAGUAGAAGUUCCCCAUGUCUUCGCGGAAAUUGUUGGCGGGGUUUCCGGUCCAGACAGCCGCCCUCCGACAAUCCUCCCUUGGAGCGUGGCGGGGGCAAGUCUCCGUCAACGUAAGGCUCGCCCAUGAAGUUGGUAGCGGAUUCGACAUCACCAACCAUUUCCUUGUACAGCUGAUUGAGGUUGUUGGAGAUGAUCUGUACGGGAUCGGUGAUCGGGGGGUUGGUUAGGGCAAGAGAAACGAUGGCCGGGGGCCGAUGCGUCGGGUCGCGGUUGACGUCGUAGAGUGGCGACGCGUCCCUGUCGAACAUCGAGGGCAUCUGCAUGCCCCUAGGGUUGUCCCAGUUCCAGUAGGGCAGGGCGAAAUCGAGAUCUCCGAUGAAUUCGCCCAUGAUUCUCUCGAAGAAAUAGAGGUACCACCUGUGUAGGGAUGAAUCCAGAAUUUGUCGUUAGGGGGGCUAAAUCUAAAAGUAUUUGCAGUGGGGGCUCCCGUCCGCAAGACAAUUUUUUUUAACCAUUCCGUAUAGAUUUAAUUGGCUUAACAUUAGAAAUCAGUCACUUACUAUAAAAAAUAGUUGUUCGCAUUCCAUUAAUUCAACAACAAGUACAUUUAAAGCAUAUACAAACCUACCUCUGUGCAAUUUUUUAAAAUAUUAUUUCGACUUCUAAAAGAAUAAACUAAUUUUCAUUGUUAAUUAAUAGUUCAAAAUUUUAGUUUAUCUUGAAGAUUAACUCAAAUUAAAUAUUCAAUAUUACCUAAUUAAACAAAAAUGAGACAAAAAUAACACAAAUUUUUAACAAACUAACCUAGCAAAUCACUGUAAAAUGUUAAGCAAUUCUUUCUUGUAUUUCUUCUAUAUAUUAAAAACAAAAAAAUUAGGGAGGGGGCUUCAGCCCCCGUGGAUCCGCCACUAACCUGUGGAAGGGGAAGAAGAUCCAUGAGUUGUGAACCUGGAUAUCGAUGCCGGGGUGGUCCACCUGGUCGUAGGGGCCGUUGCAGUAAGCGCAGUGGACGUUGGCCUGCUGAGUGAAGCCGCGGGGAUCGUUGGGGUCCGUCACGUCCAGAUCCUUCAUCAUCUGGAUGGCUUUCUCGUACUUGGCUAUGUAUUCCGGUGUCAGCCUGUGCGCCGCCGGCCUCCUGCGAAGCUUUGUGAACGUCGGAAGCGUGUACUCUUCCUCGUCGUCCGUGUAGGGCGGGCAGCAGUUGGCGUCUAGAGAUAUUAUCUCCCCGUUUCUAGAAGUAUAGGCACCUUUGGGAUCACACUUGCUCAGGUCAGGAGGUGAAAUCGGAACCGCCUCAGCUUUGCGGAUGAGGCCGCUUGCGCCGUAUAGACCACCCAGACCAAGCAGCAUGUUUCUGCGGUCUACACGGCCGCCGCCGCCUCCAUCACUGCUGCACGACACCUCAAAGCGGCGCCUCCGCCUGCUGGCGAGCUGGGAGGUGGUGCGGAGGUUGGGGUUGGUCGUGGUCGCCAUCACCAUGAAUGAAGAUUGAAGGGAAGCCAUGCUUGAUUGAUUGAUGCUUGCAUUGCGCUCGAGGCAUGCAUGUCUAUAUAUAGUAGGCGUGGACACGAGUUUUAAGAAAAAUAAUGAUACUUAAUGGGAUUAUUUUCGAAAAUGAAUUAGGAAGAUGUUUUGGAGACGAAAAUAGAAAAUUGACCUUUUGCCAGGCUGCCCUUUCACUAAAUGGUUGUAUGCACUUAUCUUUUUUUUAUCUAUAAAGAGGUAUUUUCUCCAUUUAAAAAACUUAUCGAGGUAAUUAUGAAGACUAUUCAUUUUUAUCGUUGUAAAGUUAAUUAAAUUAUAAAAAUUAAAGUUGAUAAAGUUCUUAUUAAACAUCAUCGCUCUUCUGUCUUUGGACGACAAAAUUAAUUAUUUCAAAUAGAUAAAGAACUUGAUUUUCCGAUAUGGCUUCUCAUACUAAUUAAAUAAUCUAAUCCUAUAAUGUAUUUCAUAUAAAGUUAUCAAAUUAACAAUAUUCUGUGUGAAUUUUUUUGCCUUGAGUGUGUGUAUAGAGGUAGUCAGGGCCGGCCCUGAGGGUGGGCGGGCAUGGGCGACGGCCCAGGGCCCCAAAAAUUUGAGGGCCCAAAAUUUUUAAUAUAUCCUAUUAAUUAUAGAUCUUAUGUAUACUAACAACAUAGUUCAUCUAUUGAUUUUGGGCCCAACAUAAUUUAUUCUCAAAUUUAGAUCUAUACUUAAUAUAGAGAGUUUUCAAUUUGAAAUCAAUUUCAAAGUAAUUUCAAAAUUGAGUGACUAUUUUGUAGUUAUAAUAUUAAUAAAAUUGAAGGUUUAUGUUUAAACUAUAUAUUUUUAUUUUUAUUUUUAUUUUCAUUUUCAUUUUCUUUAACUUCUUAUUUGUUGUUACAUUUCUUUCCAAAAUUGUGAAAUUCAAUUAAUUAUAAAAUAUUUAAUAUGCAUAUCAAAUUAAAGAUCACAAUAAGAGUUUUAAUAUGAUAUAUUUUAUGAAAAAUAUUUGAUUUAAAAUGUAAAAUUUAUGCAUGUUCAAAUAUUAAAGUUUUAUAAAUUUCUCUCACCUCUCUCAUCUUUACGAAUAAAUAUAUUUUUAAUUCUUUUAAAUUAGUAUUUUAUUUUUAAUUUUUUUAACUUAUUUUUUUGUUUUUGUAUUUCAUAAUAUCAAAUUUUAUAAUUGUGAAUUCUUUUUUUAUUUUUUUUAAUAUUCAAUUCAAAUAUAUAUAAUUAAAAUUAAUUUUUUAUUAUAUUUAUAAGUAUAAUAAUUAAAUUAGUAUUAAUUUUAUAUAAAUAGUAAAAACAAAAAAUAUUUCCCGUGCAUGAGAUGCAAAUGGUAGUUGCACCUCGCCGCCGGUAAUAUAUUUAAGUAUAUAAAUUAAUUAAUAUUAACAAGGCGCCCGGUGAUCACCGGAGGCAUCCUUGCCGCUGGUAUUUCUGCCGCUACUUUGAAAAAUACGGCCGUCGGUAAAUCUGGCCGCAAAUUGUGUACGUUUUUUGGUAGUGGUAAUAUAUUAGGGCCCAAUUUUUUAAUUUCGCCCAGGGCCUCAGUUUUGUCAGGACCGGCCCUGGAGGUAGUUAUAGAAUUUAUCUUUUGUGUUCUCAAAGGAACUUAAUUAAGAUCCAAUGUGAUUGAUACAUUUCGACUAAAUGGAUGGGCAAGAUUCUUUUAACGCCCAAUAUUAAUUCCAUCUCAAAUCGGAUCUUAUAUAAUACUGUAUUUUAUAUAUUCUAUAAUGCAUUUUAUAUAUUACGUGUCUAUUAAAUUAACAUUGAUCUUAGGAGUGAUACAAGUUUAAAAAAAAGCUAGCUGUAUAUUUGGUGAGUAGAGAAGGGAUUUCAGAAAUUAGAAAAAAUGGUGAUAGGUAGUGGAAUUAUUUUAAAAAAUGGACUAAAAAGAUGUUUCAUGAACGAACGAAAAUGGCAAAAUAGGAAGAUGAGUCGUGGUCGGAGGAAAUAUUAUAAUGCAUCGUAUCCUUUUUUGGUUCGUAUAAAGAUUUUUAUUUGAUCCUCAUCGAGAACAUGCAUAUUGCGAAUACUUAAUUUAUUUCAAUAUAUAUAUAUUAAUUUAUUGGGAGCAUAUGCUAAAUAAAUUAAAUUAAUCCGAAUCAAAAGCGCUUAAUUAUCACUACAUUACAUGCAUUAUGACAAAAAGCCUGCGGCUAAAGAUCUUCAGUUUAAGUCUAUUGUCAUAUUGUUUUUAAAAUAUUAUUUAUCCAUUCCGCAUAUGGAUUGGUCAGAUUUAGAUACACAAAUCUCAAAUGUAUUUAAUUAACAAAUUGAUUGAUAAAUUUUAGAAUUCAAAAAUUAAAUCAAUCAAAUACGCGUGUCCACAGUCAAUGGAUUGAAAAUAUGCAGGUAUCUAGAUAAGAUAUAUUAUUAUUAUUAUUACACUGUUAACUAUACUGCAGUACACUUUUAUAUAUACAGACAUAAUUAAAAUAUGCAGGUAUCUAGAUAAUAAGAUUAUUAUUACACUAUUAACUAUACUGCAGUACACUUUUAUAUAGAGAUAAUUACUAGAGAUAUGUGCUAUUACCCAUACUUCGCUCGAGACAGAAAUAAAUACGAUUGACCAUUCAAUUAAACACUACGACACCAUACUCGUGCAUGUACUAACGAUCUUAUUAUAAGUGCACCUUCCCGUGCGAUGCACAGGUCAGUAGAAUUGUAAUCGAUAUUGAUGUGAAUAUCAUCAUAUUCGAUUCGUAUUUGUGAAAAUACUCUAAUAUUUGAUUCAGCAUUCGAUUCGAUCACGAAUACUAAAUACGAUCCCAUAUUCGAUUCGAUGUUAUUUUUGAAUUAUUUGAUACAUUUUUUAAAAUUAAUUAAAUAAUUUUUUUACGAAUAUUCGAUUCGUUUUCCAUCAUAUUCAAUUCAAAACUAUUCGAUUUGAAAUUCUGAAGGAAAAAAUAUGUUAAAUAAUAUUCUAAAAAAUAUAGGAUUAUAUCCAAUAUAUUUACCUAAUAAUUAAACACACAAUAAUAAAGUGUUCAAUUCAUAUUGUUUUAUGUCCCGUGGUUUGUUUCUAGGAUUGUGGUAAUAAAGACUGAUUGGAUCAGUCUAGUACAGUUGUUGUUUGAAUUUGUAAUUUUGUGUAACGGCAUUGUCAUCUUGUUGAGAUUAAUAGGAGUUAAUUUGUUUAAUUAAUUAUUCAUGAGUUUCUUAUAAGAUACCUUCCUUCGUUCCGUAAAAAUAGUCAUAAUUUUUCAUUUUAGAACGUCCAUAAAAAAAUAGUGUUAUUCCAUUUAUAAACAAUUUAGAUCCUUACCUUUGGGAUGAGAUAAAAUGAAAUUCCAUUUUAAAUCAUAAACUAGCUAUAUAGGAAGCAUUUUCAGCUCUUGAAUUCAUCUGUUGUUCGAAUUUCAUAGGAAGCAAGUUUUUUUGACUCAUUAUUUUCACAGCGAAUUCAUCAUGUUACACAUACCCUAAAGUGAUAUAUUUACCCUAUUUGAUAACAUGAUAAGUAUAUUUGAAGCGCUCACUAUUUUAUUUGAACUUUAUUAUCGAGUUUAAACGAGUUUUGAAAUAUUGAAUUAAAUUGAAAUAUCCAUGUUGAUCGUUUAAGAAGCAAAUUUUUGGCAUGGGUUUAUAAAAAAUACAUCCUAGCCUCCAUCCCUAAUAAGUGCGGUGUGAAGGAGUGGGCAAUAGUUCUUUAAAAAUAAUUGAGAGAUGUGUAUAAAGUGGAUAAAAUGGCUUACUAGAGCUGAUUUGUUAGGCCUUACUUUCUCUCUGCCCCACUAAAAUAAGCUCAAUUCUUUUGAGAACAUAGAUUAAUAAACUUUCUUUUGAGAAGAAAAUUAAAGUGGUGGCAAAAGUAAUGUGGUCCAUACCAAUUAAGCAAUUUGAGUACAUUUUUUUUUUCACUCAAAAGGAAAACGAGCCUAUUCUAGCGGGACAUUCCAAAAUAGAAAACGAGCAUAUUCUGCUGGGACGAGGGAAUAAUAAAUUGUUUGUGAGAUGAGUAGUUUGUAAAUAUUGUGUGUGAAAGGUGUAUGUCUUAAAUUGAAAAGACCAUACCUGUAUUGUGAUUGUACGGAAAGGUGGAACUGAGCAUCGCGGCGGCGGCGAGGCAGGAGGCGGCGGUGGUGAGGAGAAUCGAGAGAGAGAGAGAAAGAUGCCAGCAGACAGUGACGGAGGGCAGUGGGCGGCCCUUGGCGGCAGCGGAGACGACAAGGUACUGGCUGUGCCAGAAUUAUUUAGUUGCAUAGGAUCCUUCCAAAUGUAAUUACUGAUUCACUGUUGGAUUAACAAGAAUUAAAUUACUUCAUAAUACAGUAUUCCAACUGUUCGAUAAAAGCCCUUAAUGAAAUCUUCCAUAGAUUACUUUGCAAAGUUCAUAAAAUUACUCAAAAGCAUUGUUGCAUAGUCCGUACAUAGAGAUGGUCGAUUAUCUUAAUUAUGUCUAGAUUUAUUUACGACACACACACACACACAUCACAAAAUCACACAUACUGACUAAUAAGGUUCCCGAAAGCCGGCAUUAUUAGGCGCCAUGGUGGCCGUGAAAUACCAUGAGACGAUAUCAUGGGUGGUGGGUCCGUCUAGUCUGGUGGCGGCGGAGAGCCCUACCUGAACCUGCUAAGGAAGAAAGCCGCUCAAAUCAUACUCAUAGCUGACUUCAAACGUCUUCGAGCCGGCGGUGGCACGGACGGCGAUCUACUUUGUGGAGGCGGCGUAGUUGAUCCUCGCCGUCACCUGCUGCUCGAGUAUGGAGCCGUCGACCUCCGUCGUGUUUCGGGAUGACCUAGACCCGAUGUCGAUGCCGAUGUGGGGAUAGUUCGGAUCCCACGCGCUGUUGACGUAGGUGUCGAACUCGACGGCAAAUACCGAGGGGUUGCUGCCGGAGGAGCCGAAGAUUCCGAGGUUGGCCCCGCUGGAGCCGGUGGGGAUGGUGGAGCGGCGAGAUUGGUGAUGCUGGGUGUGGUGAUGAAGUUUACGGUGGUUUCAAAGUCGACUUGGCCACCGGCUUGGGAGAAUUGGACCGGGUUCGUGUACAAGACCCGGCCGACACUACCGAUCUGCGGUCGCCUUGGUAGGUGAGGUCGGUCGGCUGGUUGUCCCAGAAGUUAUAGGCGAAGGCCGUUGAUCGGGACUUCGCCCUGUUGGUGGCGACGGCGAGAAGAAGGGCGAUGGAGAUUAGGGUUUGGAGAAGGUUGGCCAUGGCUUAGUUGUGCAGUGAAUGAUGUCUACUACUUGCUCCUAUUUAUAAUGAUCGAAAAUAUCUACUACUUACCUACCACAGAUCCACAUCAGGGGCCCUGGAUGGGGUGGUCGACUACAUAAGCCCAAAAAAAUAAGGGCUCGGAAAAUAUAUAGAUCCAUGUAAGUAUUAUAUAUAUGUAUAAAAUAAUUAAAAGCCAACUAAUGAUUGAAUUGAUUAACUUGGCGCAGUGGAAAAAGGACAUUUUUAAUUCCUCUUAAUUACCAAUAUUUUAUUUAGUGACCAAUUUUUUUGUUUAGAUAUAGGGCCCAGCCCCUAUUUUGAUAAAUUAAGUGUAUGUAUUUCAAAUUAACAUUAUUUUAAGUUGUCGAAUUUUUUUGUUAAGAUUUAGGGUCCAGCCCCUAUUUUGUUAAAUUAACUUUAUUUUAAGUGAAUGACAUAAUUAUUAAUAUAUUUAUUAAUUAUUAUGUAAUUUGAUAAAAAAAUGUUUUAAAUAAUUUUAGUUUAUAAUUAAUUUAUUUCUCAAUUAUAAAUAAAUGGCCUAAAUUAAAAAAUUCGCAAAGGGCCUAUGUUCUCUUAGCCCUACCCUUGCACUGUUGCACAUGGUAUAUAUAUCUAUUCUAUGAAUAUAAGUGAUUAUUUUAUAAACCACGUGAAAGCACUUGUUCCCACUAGCACUAUAAAAGCAAUAAAUACAACGGAAAGAAAAUAAAUUACAAUUGAAUACAUUAGGAGAAAAAUUACUUCUAACCUAUGGAAUUACUAACAACGAUACUUAUACCAAAGCUAAAUUGGACCAACUAACUGUACACUCUUGUAUUAUAUCAACCUACCAGACCUUAGUAUUCACGAGUCUCCCACAGUCUAGACUGAUUCACAAUAUAUACCAACAUUGGAACAAGUUCAGUAAUACACUCUAUUUAUAUAUAUUAUUAUAUACACAAAAAUGCAUGGCUGCUGUGGUAUUACGGAAGGAUCGAGAAUUACUCGAUCCUUGGGAAAAGGUUCAAAUGAAACCUUUAUUAUUACUCUCCGUCCCCCAAAUAAUAUCAUAUCCGAUUUGGGAUAUUACCCCACCACUAAUAAUACUUUAUUUAUUCUAACUUCUCAAUCUUUCACCAUUCUCAAUACUAAUUAUAACACAUUUUCAUCACUUUCAAUACUAAUUAUAAUUUCUUUUCUCCACUGCUAAUACGUACACUUAACAAUUUUUCCUUAAAACCAGUGUCGUCCCCUACUAAGAAGUUAUUUGGGGGACGUAGGGAGUAUUUUUUAAUGAUAUGGCAUCCAAAUAUGUUGUGACAAUCCAGUGAGCAAUAUCAACUUUUUGGAGCUGAAAACCGAUGUGAGGUACAACUAAUACACAAUAUGUUGUGGCAAUCCAGUAAUAUACCCUAAGGAUGCGUCAUCUUUUGUUGUAAAUUUAUCAUGGAAAAAUGAGGGAUAAACAAAAUUUCACCCAUUAAAUCCUUCAUUUUUUCCCUCAUUUCUUACAAAAUAGAAUUUGACCCUUACUCAUUUCUCAUUUUCACUGCAAAGGGGGGCUAAUAUUAUCUCUCUAUUUUUGGUAUAAUGAAGAAUUUGAUACGUAAUUACAAUUAAUUAUAAUGAAGUGUGUAUUUUAGUUGCUCAUAUUCUUGGAUUAUUUAUGCUUUAAUGAAACGAUCCACUGCCUUUAACAUUUUGGCAUUUUAAAGUAAACGCCGAAAUGCAACGAUCCACUGCCUUUUAAGUAAACACCCUUGCUAACCCCUGCAUGCGUUUUUUCAUCAAACACUUGGGUUCAUUCUUUUAGGCAUUUUAUCAAACAGUUGUGCUCAGCCUCAUCCUUUUGAUCACAUUCCCAUAUCUCUCCUUAUAUGAAACCGCAUUUUCUAUUUCUCAUAUAUUUCCUAUAUAAUAUUUCCAUCAUUUCUAGCUCAACAAUAAUUCUUCUAGCAAAAUUAUCAUUUCAAAUGCACUCUUUUCCUUUUCUACUUUCUCUUCUGCAUAACAGAAAUACUAAUCCACCAUAAAAUAAUCAUAACUUUUUCUUAAUGAUACGAUGAGGGCACAAAGUUGAGAUGAUAAAAUCAUACAUAUUGGCGAAUGUUGCCGCCGGCUUCCUCUGACUUUUGGAUGCUGAGGGGAGGGGUGGCGGUGAAAUACCAGGAGUUGAUGAUGAAUUUGAUGGUUGUUUCCAUGUCCACCUGCCGCAGAGACCGAGAUACGAUUUUAGAAACAAACGGCAAAAUUACAAUUUCACAUAUAAAAAAUAAAAGACAAUUAAUAAAGCGCAUAAUAUUGGUAAGAUGCUUCCAACCAAUAGGUCGGGAUUGUAUAUCGUGUGAGUGUGUUUUUCAUUUUUUAGUAAUAACAUGUCGUGCUCGGGGCUUUUUUCCGUAUCUGCCCCUGCUUCCCGUCGUCGUGCCCGACUCGUCGGUUUUUGUCAUGCGGAGGUAGGUGGUGGCGUCGGUGAAGUUGGCGUCGCCUUCCAAGCGUAGGCCUUCCGAAUGUGGCGGCUUUUGGUAGAAGUCGUAGGUGAAGGAGACUGCAUCGCCGACCGACACGGUGGCGAGGAGGAGGGCGAUGGAGGAGAGGAGAGGAAUUAAGGUUUGGAGAAGGUUGGCCAAUUUGAUUAAAUGUAUUUGGAUGUAGUGGAUGAUGGUGUAUCGAUCUCUUGCUCCUAUUUAUAGUUGUAAAUAUAUAUUAAUAAUGGUAUCAUUCAAUCAUUAUACUUUAGGCCGGCCGGGCCGGAUCCUCUAUUCCAAAUUCUAUGUCUCAUUGUUCAUAUUCACUAUUAAUUUCACUAUUUCAAUAAUUAAAAAAAUUCAUAGAGUUUGGGGCAGAGGAUCCCGUUUGAAUCCCACAUGGAUCCUCUGUCCCAUAACUUAUUGUGUUCCUUCCCAUUAUUAAUCUCGAUAUUAUAUUUCUACUUUGGAGUUAAUUCAUUAUAAACCCAUGAAAGAUCAGACGAAAUUCAUCCAAUAAACAUUUAUAAAUUUAUAUUUAAAUUUUGUUUCGCGGGUAUCUGAUAGAUAAUAGGUAUUCGUGGGUGGCGAAUUUGGGUAGCAUUUGAUAUUCAUAGAUAGUUUCAUGAUUAAAAUCCAAUAUUCAUUUAGUUCACGGGUAUGGUAUGACAGCCACUAUCUGUGUACGUCAUACCUGAUUGCCAGUAUGACAAAUAUAAAAGUUGUGAGAUGCACAGCAGCUUAAUUAUUCAAAUAGAAAUAUCAUCACAUGUGCAUUGAUAUUUCACAAAAUAAAUACUACUACUAAUAAAUACUCCCUCCGUCCACCAAAGAUAUGCCACUUUACUUUCGGUACGAGUUUUAAUAAAAUGUGAGUGAAGUUGGUAGUGGAGUAAGGGUCCCACUUUAAAUGUGAGUGGAAUGGUAUGGACCUUACUACUAAAAAUGGAUGUGGCAUAUUUUUCGUGGACGAACGAGAAAGAAAAUUGUGGCAUAUCUUUGGUGGACGGAGGGAGUAGUACUCAUUGAUAAUGCAUGCCAACACAUGGUUCUUGCAAGUCAUAUAUAUACCUCAUCAGCAAUAUAGUAAAAUGAUGAUUUGACAACCAGAUUAAGACACCAAUUAUUCUUGUCGGGACACAGACAUAUAUGCAUAUAGAAUUAAUAUUAUUUACUAUUUCGUUUAUACACGUGAAUUAUGCUUUGGAUGCAACAUCGCCACGUCUCUUUCAUUUAUACUUCUCUAGUGUAUUGCGGACAAAAUAGUUAGUGUCUUUAAGAAAUUAAAAAUUUUCAAAUACAUAAGAAAGAAUAAUUAAUCUAAUUGGUGCGCCGGCAACUAAAACUUUUUUCAAUUCACUUUAUAUUUUAUAUACUCCCUCCGUCCACGAUUUAAUGCCCCAUUUUAGUGUGGGCACGGAGACUAAGAAAACUGAAAAAGGUGAUGUGAAUGAAAUAUAAGGGUAGUUGACUAAAGUGAUAAAGAUGCUGUGAGUGGGUUCACUAGUGAUAAAGUAUAGGAAAUAUAGAAUAUAAAAAUGAUAAAGGUGUUUUAAGUUGGGUCCAUUAGUGGCAAAGAGUAAUAAAUAUAGAAAAAGAAGAGUAAAAAAGUACAAAAAGCAUAAUAGGGCUUUAAUUUGUGGACAAAAAAUUAAGAGCAAGUAGGGCUUUAAAUUGUGGACGGAGGGAGUAUUUAACAUUACAAGUCAAUUGCUUGCAGAAUUUGAGCUUGUCUCCCGUGAUGGAGACCUCACCAUGCGGCAACCCGUGCCUGCGCCUGCCUUUUUUCUUCCCGUCUUGCUCUAUCCAGAUAUUAUACGUGAUCCAACUCUUUCCAGAUAUUAUACGUAAAUGAUAAUUUUACUAACAAAAAUUACACUUUUUAUCAAUAACAAAUGAAACUAUGCAUACAAAACAGGAGGUAAAUGAUAUUUUUCUUAAUAACAACUGAUACUUUUUCAAUGCAAAUAAUACUUCGCAAAUGAUAUUUUAAUAUAAAAGUAAAUGAUACUUUGUAUAAAAAUAAAUGUUAUAUUACAAAUGACACUUUUAAUGCAUACCAAUGACACUUUUAAUAACAAAAAUUGAGAAAAAAAAAUUAGAAUUCGGCCUUAAUUAAAAUUUGGACAACAUUUAUUUGGGCAAAGAAGAAAAACACCUGAAUUUUUUUUUUUCCUUUUUUGAGAGAGAAAAACUCAUGAAAUUUCAUGCAAAAGGUAAUGCAUAGCCAACCGGGCUCAAUCAUCUUUCGGCGGUUUUGGUUUGAUUCUUCCAACAUCUAGGGUAGCAUUCACACAAAAUCAACUCGUGUUCAAAAAUCUGAAAUUAAAAUUAACGAUGUGUCUCAGUAUAGAGAUAAGAACAUACCCCUCAAAUGGUUCGAGCCAAGGUCUAAUUCCUUCAGCAGUGUGAUAUUCCAAAUUUGAGUAGGCAUAUAUCCGCCAAAGUUGUUGUCUGACAAGCGAAUACUCUCAAGUUGUGGACAUUGGUACAAACUCGAUGGUAUAUCUCCUUCCAAAUUGUUAAAGGAUAGGUUCACUAGUUUAAGUCUUUGAAGGUUAUUGUACGUGCNUAGACAACAAGAAAUAUCUAUUGUCUAUUCUAUGACAAAAAAAUUAAAAAAUUCUAAUAUAUCUGCAUCCCUGUAUUACAAUACCAAUAUAUAUGAAAAAAUAAAAAUAAUUAAAAAUCAAAUAAUCAAACAAUACUUAUAAACCACUAAUACUCACAAUCAAAUAUUUACACAUCAGUGUAAAUAUUGGGUUCGAGUCCUCUGCGUGUGUUGAUCAAGCGGUAAGGGGUUAAUGCCUAAGGUCAAAGGUCUGGGAUUCGAGUCCCCUGUGGUGUAGCCUUUUAAUUUCGUUAUUUAAUAUUGUAAAUUUAUAAAAAAAAAAAAGUAUAUUUACACAUCAACAAUUGUAUUAUCUUUAAUACGCCUUCAUUCAUCUAAUAAAAAAAAUCUCUAAUAAAAUCUCCAACUAACUCCGGUCAUGAUCAUCUCUUGAAGGCGGAGGAAGGUGGAGUCCGUCGGGAAAUGGGUACUGCCUUGAUAGAUGAGAUCUUUCGGCUGGUCGCCCCAGAAGUCGUAGGUGAAGGACGUCGUUUGGGACAACGCCGUGUUGGAAACGGAGAGGAGGAGGACGAUGGAGGAGAGGAGAGGAGUUAAGGUUUGAAGAAGCUGGUUGGCCAUGGCUUAAUUGAUUUAGAUUUAGAGAUGUGGUGGAUGAUGGUGGUAUCGAUCUCUUGCACCUAUUUAUACUAGUAUGGUUCAUGCCUGUUAAUAAUUGUAUAUAUCAAUCAUCGUGCAUCUAUCCCAAAUUAUAUGUCUUAUUAUUCACUAAUUAGAUGGAUUAAAUCCUGAUUAGUAACCAUAAAAUUAAACUGUCAAUGAGGCCUUGCUCUAGUGGCAAAGCUGUGACACCGAAUAACUUUUCUUUGUGAAAUGUCUUGGGUUCAAUCUCGCCUGCAUGCGGUGAUGUGUGUCCAUUUUAGGUGGUGUGGUAUUCUUGUCUGCGUGCGGUGUUGUAUUGUUUAGUGUUGAGGUCCCACAUGCAGAGCGUUCUUGCCUGUGUACGUGUCACAGCCCAAAACCAUUUAUUUUCUUUACAAAUUUUAUAUAUGAAAAUUAUUUAAUUUUUAAGUUAUAGAGUUUUUGAAAUAUAUAUAGUAUCAAUUUUAUGUUAACUUAGUCGUGUCCCUAAUUAAAAGAAUGACUUUAAAAUAAAACUUAAGCCUUAAAAAUUUAAUCUACAUUCAUAUAUAACUGAAAUUACAUGCAUGUCUAAAUAUUAUUUAUAAUUAUCAAUAACAAGAUUAAUGAUUCUAUAUCUCUAUGUUUAUACAUGUAUUCACGUAUGACAUAGUAUAUAUUAGCUAUUAAGUUAAAAACUAAUAAAAUACUACACUUUUGCAUAGGAUAUAUAUUUAAUUAGUAGUAGGAUAGGACACGUGUAUUAAUUUUAAGGGCAAGUAAUCAAACUUUUGAAUGAUUCAUCAUGCUUAAAAAAAAAAGAGACCUAGAUAGAUGAUUCAUCAGAUUCAAAAACAAGUAUAAAUAGACUUCGGGUUUGAAAUUUUAAUUAAUUUGCAACAACAAUUCAAACUGACUGUAUUAAGGUAAGUAGUUACAGAUUUCAUACACAUAUUAUAUGAUUUCGCACACAUAUUAAGGUAAGUAUAUAUAAAUAUUUUUUAAAAUCAUAUAUUAUAUAAUAAUUAUAUUUAAGUUUUAUAUUAUUCUUUAUAAACUAUUGUUUCAUUCUAUAUAAUUAGGUGUGGCACGACUAGGACGUAACUUUCUAUUGAAUUUCUCAAGUUAAUCUUAGAGUUCAAGUUUCAGGUGUGAGAUUUAUUUAAAUACAUGUCGUACGUGGUUAUUUAUUGUCCAUUUUAAUAAGAUGUGUUUACCAUAUGUGUUAUGACGCAUAUUUUUAGGAUAUCACUAGGUGCCCAUAAAUAGGAUCCAGGACUUCACCGUCCUUGGAUUGCCACAAUGCGAUUUGAGGUUUAUUUUGAGGAUGUCGUUAGGGGCCCGUACAUAGGGUCCAGGACUUUAAUAGUCAUUGGGUUGCCAUAGUGCAAAUAUUGAGGAUAUAUAUGAAGUGACCGUAUGUGUUACCGUUUCAUUAACGUGGACAAUGAUUGCAUGUUUAAGAGACAAUAACCAAUUUUUCAGACAUUUGUGAACAAAAUGAAGCAUGUUUAGAGAUCCUUAAUACAGGUGUACGAAAUGAUGGAUAAAUAAGUUUGUGAAACAAAUUUCACCAUACCUAACCCCACAAUUAUUUGCGGUCGAAUUUCCUCGUCACAGGAAAAAGAGAUGAUGACAAAAGGGAAAAAAUUAAUUAACAAAGUAGAAGAUGCAUGACAACUGUAAAAGAAAAAUAAUGCUACUAAUUAAAUAGUCCAAACUUCAUACGUUUCAUAUCAUAAGUGGCAGUUCUAUUUUUUUUUUUGCGAAUGUGAACAAAAUAACGAAUAAUUUUUAAAGUAAUAGUAAUAAGGAGAUGUGUUUUGACAGAAAACGACAUGAGCGGCCUAAAAAUAAGAGGGAAAAAGAUAAUCAUAUAAAUAUUCAAAAUCAAACGGAUUGGCAUGUAUUCAUCAUUUUUUAUUUUUUAUUUUGAUAAUUUAACAGUACUCCCUCCGUCCGUCAAAAGUAGACCACUUUGGUUGGGCACGGGAUUUAAUAAAAUUAGUGAUGAUUUUGAUGUAGUAGAGAAAGAGUUCCACCACUUUAUGAGAUGUGUGGUUGAGAUUGAAUUUGUUGUGAUUUUUUUGUAAAUAAAGAGUGUUUGUAAGGAUAAAAGAUUAAAGUGGGUGGUGGGACCAUUUCCAUAAAAGGAAAGUGGUCUACUAUUUGCGGACGCCCAAUAUAGUAAAAGUAGUCUACUUUUGGCGGACGGGGAGAGUAUUAAAUAAAUAAAUUUAAAGGUUGCACCCCUUACUGCUUGGCUUUUAGAUUAUGUUAUAAUAAUAAAAUUAACAGCACGUUUACAAUAUAAAAUUAAUUAUGAUAAAUACAAUAUAUUAAUAAUAAAUACUCAAUUACCUCUUAACAUAAUUCGCGCAUCAUGGCUUUUAGCUUAUAUUAUAAAGAUAUAAUAUGUUGUCUAUAAUAAUCGACGGAAGGUAAUAGACAACAUGUUUUAUAUGUUGUCUAUAAUAAUAUAGACAGUAGAUCUAGUGUUAUAGAUAACAAUUAAUACUUGUUGUCUAUAUGAUGAUAGACACCAAAAAUCUCUGUUGUCUAUUCUAUGACAAAAAAAUUUAAAAAAAUUCUAAUAUAUUUACAUCCCUGUAUUACAAUACCAAUAUAUAUGAAAAAAUAAAAAUAAUUAAAAAUCAAAUAAUCAAACAAUACUUAUAAACCACUAAUACUCACAAUCAAAUAUUUACACAUCAACAACUGUAUUAUCUUUAAUUACGCCUUCAUUUAUCUAUUAAAAAAAAUCUCUAAUAAAAUCUCUAACUAACUCCGGUCAUCAUCUCUUGAAGGCUUAGAAAAUGUCCAAAUACAGCGGCACAUGCUCAUUAUUGUGUGAGCGAUGAGAACUUUGCGCUGAACCUAUAAAGUAACUAUACUUAACUGGUAAAGUAAUUGUAUCCCGUGAAUCUAAAGGAAGACUACACACGUUGAUAGAGUUUGAAAGAAAAGAAUAAAGAGAAUGAAAAUCCAAAGAAUUUGCUUCUUCCGUUGAACAAUCCCUACACAACAUUGAAAUAUCAAUGAAAAUAAUGGCUAUCGUAUACUCCCUCCAUCCAUGAAAGAACUUCAUAGGAGGGAGUGACACGGGUUUUAAGAAAAAAUAUUGUUAAGUGUAUUGAGAGUGGAUAAAAGGUAGUUGAGUGUAUUGGGAGUGGUGAAAAUGUGUUAUAGUUAAUAUUGAGAGUUGUGAAAAGUGAAAAGUAAGAGGAUUAUAAGUGGUGGGGUAUAGUCCAAAAAUAGGUAGGAAGUUCUUUUGUGGACGUCCCAAAAAGGAAAGAUAUGAAGUUCUUUCGUGGACGGAGGGAGUAUUAUUUUGCAGCAGCAACCACGUUUGAAAACUCGAUCCCUCUGUUCUUGAAUUUGUGAAAUUUCCGACUGAUUUAUUAGAUUCACCAUUUAUUUCAGUUUAAUUAGUCUAUAUAUAGAUAUUUCUUAUAUUAUUAAAUUGUUAACCUCAUGGUAGAUUUCAAGAUUUGAAAAUUCAACAAAGAGCUUGAGAAUUAUUGAGAUUGGAAGGGGAAGAUGAAACAUAAUUGGGUGAAAUUAGAAACCAAUUAAAGUCACAAGAUUGAACAAAAACAUAACUUAAAAACACAAAAUAAGCAAAUCGUAGAUGCAGUAUCUUGCAAGAAAAAGUUCAUAUUCCCAAGGCUAUGAUGAGCACGAAUUAGGGUGUGUCUGCAUUUUAUCCCUCUAAAUAGAGGAAUAACAAAAUUUUAUUCUUUAAAUGUUUGCUUUCUUAUCACACAUUCUACACAAACACCAUUUUUUCUUCCUUAUUUUCACUUCAAGGAGGANUAAUAUUAUCCCUCCAAUUUUGGUGUGAUAAUAUUAUCUCUUCUUGAAGUGAAAAUAAGGAAGAAAAAAUGGUAUUUGUGUAGGAUGUGGGAUAAGAAAGCAAACAUUUAAAGGUAUAAAUUUUUGUUAUUCCUCAUUUAGAGGAAUAAAAAGCAAACACACAUUAGAGUCUACUUACAAUUUAGGCGCAGGCUGUGCGAGAAUUACUUAGUCGAAUAGGAUCCUAAGUAUUUAUAUUUCUCAUGUUCUUGUGUAUUUUUUUACUGAUUCACUAUUGGAUUAACAAGAAUUAUCUUACUUUAAAUUUCUUGCUUUAAAAAAAAAAAAGAAUUAUCUUACUUCAUGUAUGGUAUGCCAACUGUUCGAUAAAGGUCCUUUUAGAAAUCUUCUAUUGAUUACCUUGCGAAGACCACAAAACUAGACACACCCAAAAGCAUUCUUGCAUAGUUUAUACAUAGAGAUGGCCGAUUGAUGAUCGUCUUAUUUGUAGACUUAACGCGAGCAGACUCGAUCGCUUAGUCCUUAUUGAUUUACGACACACAUGCUCACACACACACAUACACACAUCACAAAAUCACACAAAUUGACGGAUAAUGUUGCCGUUCAGCUCCUUCCUGAACCUCACCGCGGCAUUUUUCUGCACCAUAGUGGCCGUGAAAUACCACGAGACGAUGUCAUGGACGGCGACGUGUUGUCCGGUGGCGGCGGAUAGCCCGACCUGAACCUGCUGAGGAACAAAGUCGCUCAAAUCGUACUCAUAGUUGACAUCAAAUGUCUGCGAGCCGGCGGUGACUUUCACGGAGAUCAUCCUUGUGGCUCCGACGUAGUUGAUCCGCGCAGUCACCUGCUGCCCGAGUAUGGAGUUGUCGACCUUCGUCGUGUUGCUGGAUGCCCUAGAGCCGAAGUCGAUGCCGAUGUGGGGAUAGAGCGGAUCCCACGCGCCGUUGACGUAGGUGUCGAUUUCGACGGCGAAGACCGAGGGGCUGUUGCCGUUGGAGCCAAAGAUUCCGAGGUUGGCUCCGUUGGAGCCAGGGGGGAUGGUGGAACCGACGGGGGCAAUGAAGAAGGCGAGGCCGUCGGCAGGCUCGUUGUCGGCGCCCGGGGUGAUGAUGAAGUUCACAGUGGUUUCGAAGUCGACCUGCCCACCGGACUGCGAGAAUUGGACCGGGUUCGAGUGCAAGACGCGGCCGACUUGUGAGGGCUGUGCGUCUGUGAGGCGGAGGAAGGUGGAGUCCGUCGGGAAAUGGGCGCUGCCUUGAUAGAUGAGAUCUUUCGGCUGGUCGCCCCAGAAGUCGUAGGUGAAGGACGUCGUUUGGGACAACGCCGUGUUGGAAACGGCGAGGAGGAGGGCGAUGGAGGCGAGGAGAGGAGUUAAGGUUUGAACAAGCUGGUUGGCCAUGGCUUAAUUGAUUUAGAUUUAGAUUUAGAGAUGUGGUGGAUGAUGGUGGCCAGGUAUCGAUCUCUUGCACCUAUUUAUACUAGUAUGGUUCAUGCCUGUUAAUAAUUGUAUAUAUCAAUCAAUCAUCGUGCAUCUAUCCCAAAUUAUAUGUCUUAUUAUUCACUAAUUAGAUGGAAUAAAUCCUAAUUAGCAAUCUUAAAAUUACACCGCCAAUGAGGCCUUGCUCUAGUGGUAAAGCUGUGGCACCGAAUAACUUUUCUUUGUGAAAGGUCUUGGGUUCAAUCUCGCCUGCAUGCGGUGAUGUUUGUCCAUUUUAGAUGGUGUGGUAUUCUUGCCUGCGUGCGGUGUUGUAUUAUUUAGUCUUAGGCGUUCUUGCCUGUGUGCAUAUCACUGUGUGACAAUUAAAAGAAUGACUUUAAAAUAAAAGUUAAGCCUUAAAAAUUUAAUCUACAUUCAUAUAUAACUGAAAUUACAUGCAUGUCUAAUUUUUUUAAUAUCAUAACAAGAUAAGAUUUAUUAAAUAAUUCAGAUGCAUAAAUAAAAAGUUAAUCUAUAAACACAGUAUAGAUAUAUUAUCAAUGAUAGGCCGUGUAUAAGUCUUAAUCUGUAAAACUAUAUCAUCCCAGCCUUAAACGACUACCAUUCCUGCUUUCCCAGAGCAACCACACUGUUCCCACCCACAAAGCUUUAAGCAGUACAUGCAUGUCUAAAUAUUAUUUAUAAUUAUCAAUAACAAGAUUAAUGAUUCUAUAUCUCUAUGUUUAUACAUAUAUUCACGUAUGACAUAGUAUAUAUUAGCUAUUAAGUUAAAAACUAAUAAAAUACUACAGUUUUGCAUAGGAUAUAUAUUUAAUUAGUAGUAGGAUAGGACACGUGUAUUAAUUUUAAGGGCAAGUAAUCAAACUUUUGAAUGAUUCAUCAUGCUUAAAAAAAAAAAGAGACCUAGAUAGAUGAUUCAUCAGAUUCAAAAACAAGUAUAAAUAGACUUCGAGUUUGAAAUUUUAAUUAAUUUGCAACAACAAUUCAAACUGACUGUAUUAAGGUAAGUAGUUACAGAUUUCAUACACAUUAUAUGAUUUCGCGCACAUACGUAUGUAUAUAUAAAUAUUUUUUAAAAUCAUAUACUCCCUCCGUCCCCAAAAUAAGUUCCUCUUUGGGGACGGCACGGAUUUUAAGGAAAAGUGGUAAAGUGUAUUAAUAGUGGAGAAAAAUAUGUUAUAAUUAGUAUUGGAAGUUGUGAAAAGGUGAAAAAGUGUUAUAAUUAGUAUUGGGAGUGGUGAAAAAGUGAAAAGUAAGAAUAAAUAAAGUAUUAUUAGUGGUGGGGUAGUUGUCCAAAAAUGGAAAAAAAGAAAGAGGAACUUAUUUGGGGGACAUCCCAAAAUGGAAAAAGAGGAACUUAUUUCAGGGACGGAGGGAGUAUUAUAUAAUAAUUAUAUUUAAGUUUUAUAUUAUUCUUUAUAAACUAUUGUUCCAUUCUAUAUAAUUAGGUGUGGCACGACUAGGACGUAACUUUCGAUUGAAUUUCUCAAGUUAAUUUUCAAGUUCAAGUUUCAGGUGUGAGAUUUAUUUAAAUACAUGUCAUGAUUAUUCAUUGUCCAUUUUAAUAGUAUGUGUUUACCAUAUGUGUUAUGACGCAUAUUUUGAGGACAUCGCUAGGAGCCCAUAAAUAGGGUCCAGGACUUCACCGUCCUUGGAUUGCCACAAUGCGAUUUGAGGUUUAUUUUGAGGAUGUCGUCAGGGGCCCGUAAAUAGGGUCCAGGACUUUAAUAGUCAUUGGGUUGCCACAGUGCGAAUAUUGAAGAUAUAUAUGAAGUGACCGUAUGUGUUACCGUUUCAUUAACGUGGACAAUGAUUGCAUGUUUAAGAGACAAUAACCAAUUUUUCAGACAUUUGUGAACAAAAUGAAGCAUGUUUAGAGAUCCUUAAUAAAGGUGUACGAAAUGAUGGAUAAAUAAGUUUGUGAAACAAAUUUCACCAUACCUAACCCCACAAUUAUUUGCGGUCGAAUUUCCUCGUCACAGGAAAAAGAGAUGAUGACAAAAGGGCAAAAAUUAAUUAACAAAGUAGAAGAUGCAUGACAACUGUAAAAGAAAAAUAAUGCUACUAAUUAAAUAGUCCAAACUUCAUACGUUUCAUAUCAUAAGUGGCAGUUCUAUUUUUUUUUUGCGAAAGUGAACAAAAUAACGAAUAAUUUUUAAAGUAAUAGUAAUAAGGAGAUGUGUUUUGACAGAAAACGACAUGAGCGGCCUAAAAAUAAGAGGGAAAAAGAUAAUCAUAUAAAUAUGGGUUAAUUGCCUCUAAAUACACCACCUUUCCUUGAAUUCUACAAUUGCACAUCACCUUUAAAAUCCGCCCUUAAAUACACCACCUUUCCUUGAGUUCUACAAUUGCACAUCACCUUUAAAUCCGCCCCAAAAUACAUCAUCUUUAUAUUUUUUCUGUUUUUGCACAUGACUAAAAAAUUCUCAAGAAAUAAAUUAAAGUGUUAAUUUAUAAAUUUAAAUAUCUUUUUAGCAGCGAAAACAUAAUAAAAUAAAAUUCUUUAUAAAGUUUAAAAUCAUAUAUAUAUAUAUAUAUAUAUAAGUAUUUUCGUAAAGAAAUAAAUUCUCUAAUAAAUUUUUAGAAAGAACUUGAAUUAAAAAAAUAAACAAGUCAUGACAUUAAGAAAAUAAAAUGAAAUUUUUAUUUUAAUAAAUUUCACACGAAUUCGAUAUAAUUUGGAAUUUAGAGUUACAAUAAUCAGAAGUACCACAUGAAUAAUAUAAUGAGUUUGAAAGAAAUUUUUUUUAAAGAGGUUCGACACGCCCAUUCGACUUUCCACGCGCCUCCAAUGUCAUUUACCUGAAAUAUUAANUAUAUAAGUAUUUUUCGUAAAGAAAUAAAUUCUCUAAUAAAUUUUUAGAAAGAACUUGAUUAAAAAAUAAACAAGACAUGACAUUAAGAAAAUAAAAUGAAACUUUUAUUUUAAUAAAUUUCACACGAAUUCGAUAUAAUUUGGAAUUUAGAGUUACAAUAAUAAAAAGAACCACAUAAAUAAUAUAAUCAGUUUGAAAGAAAUAUAUAUAUAUUUUUUUAAAGAGGUUCGACGCGCCCAUUCGACUCUCCACGCGCUACCAAUGUCAUUACCUGAAAUACUAAAUAUGGGAUAAGCAUACAUAAUAUACUUAGUGUGGGAACAUGCAAUUAUUGUCCACGUUAAUAAAAUAGUAACACAUACGAUCAUAACAUUCAAAACGACACAAUUUUGCCAAUAUGGAAGCCACGUCAUUUAAAGUGGUAACACCCUAAUCUAACUAAAGUGUUAAAUAUAAAUUUAAAGCGGAAAUAUAAUAAAAUAAAGUUCUUUAUAAAAAUAAAUAAAGAAUUUUAUUUUAUUAUAUUUCCGCUGCUAAAAAAGAUAUUUAAAAUUUAUAAAUUAACACUUUAAUUUAUUUCUUGAGGAUUUUUAAGUCAUGUGCAAAAACAGAAAAAAAAUAUAAAGGUGAUGUAUUUUGGGGCGGAUUUAGAAUUCAAGGAAAUGUGGUGUAUUUAGGGGCGGAUUUUAAAGGUGAUGUGCAAUUGUAGAAUUCAAGGAAAGGUGGUGUAUUUAGGGGAAAUUAACCCUAUAAAUAUUCAAAAUCAAACGGAUUGGCAUGUAUUCAUCAUUUUUUAUUUUUUAUUUUGAUAAUUUAACAGUAUUAAAUAAAGAAAUUUAUAGGCUGCGUCCCUUACUGCUUGGCUUUUAGAUUAUGUUGUAAUAAUAAAAUUAAAAGCACGUUUACAAUAUAAAAUUAAUUAUGAUAAAUACAAUAUAUUAAUAAUAAAUACUCAAUUACCUCUUAACAUAAUUCGCGCAUCAUGGCUUUUAGCUUAUAUUAUAAAGAUAUAAUAUGUUGUCUAUAAUAAUCGACGGAAGGUAAUAGACAACAUGUUUUACUUCUUGUCUAUAAUAAUAUAGACAGUAGAUCUAGUGUUAUAGAUAACAAUUAAUACGUGUUGUCUAUAUGAUGAUAGACACCAAAAAUCUCUGUUGUCUAUUCUAUGACAAAAAAAUUUAAAAAAAUUCUAAUAUAUUUACAUCCCUGUAUUACAAUACCAAUAUAUAUGAAAAAAUAAAAAUAAUUAAAAAUCAAAUAAUCAAACAAUACUUAUAAACCACUAAUACUCACAAUCAAAUAUUUACACAUCAACAAUUGUAUUAUCUUUAAUUACGCCUUCAUUUAUCUACUAAAAAAAAUCUCUAAUAAAAUCUCUAACUAACUCCGGUCAUCAUCUCUUGAAGGCUUAGAAAAUGUCCAAAUACAGCGGCACAUGCUCAUUAUUGUGUGAGCGAUGAGAACUUUGCGCUGAACCUAUAAAGUAACUAUACUUAACUGGUAAAGUAAUUGUAUCCCGUGAAUCUAAAGGAAGAAUAAACACGUUGAUAGAGUUUGAAAGAAAAGAAUAAAGAGAAUGAAAAUCCAAAGAAUUUGCUUCUUCCGUUGAACAAUCCCUACACAACGUUGAAAUAUCAAUGAAAACAAUGGCUAUCCUAUACUCCCUCCAUCCAUGAAAGAACUUCCUAGGAGGGAGUGACACGGGUUUUAAGAAAAAAUAUUGUUAAGUGUAUUGAGAGUGGAUAAAAGGUAGUUGAGUGUAUUGGGAGUGGUGAAAAUGUGUUAUAGUUAAUAUUGAGAGUUGUGAAAAGUGAAAAGUAAGAGGAUUAUAAGUGGUGGGGUAUAGUCCAAAAAUAGGUAGGAAGUUCUUUUGUGGACGUCCCAAAAAGGAAAGAUAUGAAGUUCUUUCGUGGACGGAGGGAGUAUUAUUUUGCAGCAGCAACCACGUUUAAAAACUCGAUCCCUCUAUUCUUGAAUUUGUGAAAUUUCCGACUGAUUUAUUAGAUUCACCAUUUAUUUCAGUUUAAUUAGUCUAUAUAUAGAUAUUUCUUAUAUUAUUAAAUUGUUAACCUCAUGGUAGAUUUCAAGAUUUGAAAAUUCAACAAAGAGCUUGAGAAUUAUAGAGAUUGGAAGGGGAAGAUGAAACAUAGUUGGGUGAAAUUAGAAACCAAUUAAAGUCAGGAGAUUGAAGAAAAACAUAACUUAAAAACACAAAAUAAGCAAAUCGUAGAUGCAGUAUCUUGCAAGAAAAAGUUCAUAUUCCCAAGGCUAUGAUGAGCACGAAUUAGGGUGUGUCUGCAUUUUAUCCCUCUAAAUGGAGGAAUAAUAAAAUUUUAUGCCUUUAAAUGUUUGCUUUCUUAUCACACAUUCUAAACAAACACCAUUUUUUCUUCCUUAUUUUCACUUCAAUGAGGGAUAAUAUUAUCCCUCCAAUUUUGGUGUGAUAAUAUUAUCCCUCCUACAAGUGAAAAUAAGGAAGAAAAAAUGGUACUCCCUUCGUCCCAAACGAAAUGUCCUGUUUUCCUUUUUGGGCUGUCCCAAACGAAAUGUCCUGUUUCCUUUUUUGGCAAUACACUCUCUCUCUAUACUUAAUAUUUAAAUAAUUUUCACCAACCCACUUUAUCUACUUUAUACACAUUUCUUAAUCUCCGUGCCGAAAAGAAAUGGGACAUUUCGUUUGGGACGGAGGGAGUAUUUGUGUAGGAUGUGGGAUAAGAAAACAAACAUUUAAAGACAUAAAUUUUUGUUAUUCCUCCAUUUAGAGGGAUAAAAAGCAAACACACCUUAGAGUCUAAUUACAAUUUAGGCGCAGGCUGUGUGAGAAUUACUUAGUCGAAUAGGAUCCUUAGUAUUUAUAUUUCUCAUGUUCUUGUGUAUUUUUUCACUGAUUCACUAUUGGAUUAACAAGAAUUAUCUUACUUUAAAAAAAAAAAAGAAAUGAUCUUACUUCAUGUAUGGUAUGCCAACUGUUCGAUAAAGGUCCUUUUAGAAAUAUUCCAUAGAUUACCUUGCAAAGACCACAAAACUAGACACACCCUGCAUAGUUUAUACAUAGGGAUGGCCGAUUGAUGAUCGUCUUAUUUGUAGACUUAACGAGAGCAGACUCGAUCGCUUAGUCCUUACUGAUUUACGACACACAUGCACACAUACACAGAUACACACAUCACAAAAUCACGCAAAUUGACGGAUAAUGUUGCCGGCCAGCUCCUUCCUGCUCCACGCCACGGCAUUUUUCUGCACCAUGGUGGCCGUGAAAUACCACGAGACGAUGUCAUGGGUGGCGACGUGUUGUCCGGUGGCGGCGGAUAGCCCGACCUGAACCUCCUGAGCAACAAAGUAGCUCAAAUCGUACUCAUAGCUGACAUCAAACGUCUGAUUGCCGGCGGUGACUUUGACGGAGAUCAUCCUUGUGGCUCCGACGUAGUUGAUCCGCGCAGUUACCUGCUGCUUGAGUAUGGAGCUGUCGACCGGCGUCGUCUUGCUGGAUACCCUAGAGCCGAAGUCGAUGCCGAUGUGGGGAUAGAGCGGAUCCCACGCGCCGUUGACGUAGGUGUCGAUUUCAACGGCGAAGACCCCGGGGCUGUUGCCGUUGGAGCCAAAGAUUCCGAGAUUGGCUCCGUCGGAGCCAGGGGGGAUGGUGGAGUCGACGGGGGCAAUGAAGAAGGCGAGGCCGUCGGCAGGCUCGUUGUCGGCGCCGGGGGUGAUGAUGAAGUUCACGGUGGUUUCGAAGUCGACCUGCCCAUUGGACAUCCAGAAUUGGACCGGUUCCGAGUACAUGACGCGGCCGACUUGGGACGGUUGUGCGUCUGUGAGGCGGAGGAAGGUGGAGUCCGUCGGGAAAUGGGCGUUGCCUUGAUAGAUGAGAUCUUUCGGCUGGUCGCCCCAGAAGUCGAAGGUGAACGACGUCGUUUGGGACAACGCCGUGUUGGAAACGGCGAGGAGGAGGGCGAUGGAGGCGAGGAGAGGAGUUAAGUUGGCCAUGGCUUAAUAGAUUUAGAUUUAGAGAUGUGGUGGAUGAUGGUGGUAUCGAUCUGUUGCACCUAUUUAUACUAGUAUGGUUCAUGCCUGAUAAUAAUUGUAUCAAUCAAUCAUCGUGCAUCUAUCCCAAAUUAUAUGUC